rnacentral:lncRNA from 1 species
GGAGGCGGUGAAGGUACUCGACGUGACUGGUCCGUGCUAAGAAGUAGGAAUAAACUUGACGAUGGAUACGUGCGUCGCAGCUGGUGCCGACGUGCUAGCUCGUCAGGCCUACCCUUAUAUAUGUCUCCCCGUUUUUUUACGAGAACGUGUGACGCUCAUUGGACCAUCGGAUGGUAGAAGGAAUUGUGCAGGGGGGUUUUGUGCAAAAUUCCAUAGCCCCAGCUUGCUAGGAAAAAGACCUGUAGUCAAUGCACUCGCCACGUCAACAGCCACGUGGUAGAUUAGAGCUCCAAAACGUGAUUUGGAUCAACAUGUUUACGCCUACCAAGUUUUUGGACUGAACUUUUCCCACCUAGUGCGGUUUACAUGUCCACGCAUGCAAAGUUGGUAGAUUUAGAGUUGGUAAAACAUCUUAUAUUUAGGAAUGGAGCAAGUAGAUCGAAAGUUUCCAUAAUGUUUUUACCCCUAAGUUCAUCAACCUAGGGUUUGAAACACAAUGUUUCGGUUCAUUUCAGGGAAAACAGAAAUGGAAAAGUACAAAAACUUUACCUAGAAAUGGAACAGUUUCUAGUGGAAAUACAGGCGAAACAGGAAUUUCCAUAGCCCAUCCACCAUAAUCUUUAAUGAUGUUGAUGUAUCUAUUUACCUCCCGAUCCCAUUCUUACACGUUGUCCUACUCCCACGACUCGAUGAUCAGAAUCAACUAGCGUGGCACACCACCGGCAGCAGCCAUUCUCCACCCAUUAUUCGUGAUCCCUCCCCUGGUCGUCCAAUUUUGUUGUGCUUUUUUCCACGGUUCAAGGUUUUUUUGUGUUUUGAUAGACAUCCGCUUUUGUAUUUGUAUCUGUUCCAUACAUGUUUCUAGCACUAUCCACUUCCAAAUUCAUUUUCCGGAUUCAUGUACCUCUUUCGAUAACAAUACAAUAGCACCUAUUUCCGCAUGUUUGCGGUUAUAUUUACACCCCCUACAUCACUGAGAGCAUCGAUUUGGGGUAACUACUGUGUUGAGGCAAGUCGCCAUGGCUGAAUGGGGCAGGUAUUAGGAGAAGAACAAGAUAGUAGACCGGGGAUUGGGGAAGAAGAUUGUGAAAGACUACUCCGAUGUUCUUGCUUUAUGAAAUGGUAAAUUUGUAAUAGUGGCUCCUCAGAAAGAGGACACGCCUACAAUGUAAAGAAAAAAGUGCUUAAAAGGAUAUAUAUAUACAAACAUAGUAUCUAGCCGAAAUGCAAUAUCUAACAUGGAAGUUAAUUAUCAUAAUGUCCAAAAUGACCAAGCACAAGGGUUGUCAUCCUUGGUAUGCCCACUUCUACGACAAGUUGCGAUGUGGAUACCGUGUUGCUUGAGAGAUCAACACGAUUUCUUCAAUGGUUGGUUGCGACCCGCCAGAUGCUUUAGCAUGACCAUGGCUCGGCCACCGACGUUAAGGAAGAACGUGAUGGCAUCGACAACUAGCAUGAAUGUGACGAAGGUGCAAUCCCCACACGGGCGGCCACCGCACUCCACACCGCCAAUAGCAUGGACUCGGUCAGCAACCCGGAGAAGGUAGUCUUCAAACGAUGGUGGUCUUCCUUUUCCUUGACAAAGCCAUUAACUCCAUGAUUAGGGCUGGAAAUCAAAGUCCAAACUCGGGAGCUUAACGAGUACUCGAGAAAUCGGCUCAACCUCAAACACUAGUGAGUUGAGUUGCCCAAGUUAUUAAGUUAGCGAGUUUAACAAGUCGAGUUGCCGAGUACUUGGUUAGCCCGUAAUAUUGUGCGAUUUCAUGGUGUUACACAUUAGAUUGAUCAUGCGUUCCAUGCAAAAUUGCUUAAAGAUGGAGUUUAUUCAAAGAAACAUUAGUAUAUAGCACCAUAUUUUACAUCUAUAUGUUUGCUCACAUUUGUGAUUUGUCCAACAAAGUGAACUCUUUAUGCUGAGUAACGAGAUUAUUAGGCCAACUCAAGUUUUUAUUGAGCAAAUUGAGCUGGGAGUUUGAACUGUUGAGUUAACAAUUAAAUCACAUUGUUGGGAAAUGAACCUUUAAUGGUGGGGUGGGUACCAAAAAAACCGUUGUGUCGUCCCUUGAGCCACAUAGCGGGUACUAGCUACAACCUGGCAUGCACAAUAGUUGGCGUCUUCUCCAAAUGAAAAAGCAGCAUGCCAGUUGGCACAACGAUAGUAGUCAUUUUUCCUACGUUGCUAGGAAACUUGUAGACCUCGGGUUCCAACGCCACAAGAGCAUGGGACAUUCAUCAACAUUGGAAAUCAUGGCAAAAGAACCCCGCUCUAAUGGCCAAUGUAAUGUAAUGGCCGAAUGAUGGGACCAUAGAUUAGGCAAGAGAAAGAUGGGACCGUAGAUUAGGCAAGUAGAUUUUUGGUGAGAGAAAUACCAAUAUUUUCCUUGCUUUAUGAGAAAUGCCAAUAAUGUCCUCUCUCAUACACAGGUGCUAGAAUGCAAAGAUUGAAUCUACUUAAAGGAUUAUUUGGAACAUUGGUCCGCAUGAGCAAGCAAUGGUUGGGCCCUAAAACUCUGGUCCACCUGUUUGGCCUGCCCCUUCUUGGGCAUGGUUUGGUCAAAAGAUUCACCAAGGCUUUGCAAGCAAGACUUCACCUCUCGGAUUCCGUUGGCAAAUUACCUACACCCUUUCUUUGCUCCCAUUGGUGCUCCAUGUCUUUUCGACGGCAGAGAUCCUUGGAUGGCCCACAUCUCUUAAAUGUAUCUUCUUUCCUGCGUGUGUACGAAGGAUUGAACCCGCGUUCCCCUAGCAACGAUCCAAGCCGGCAGCCACCGAGUUCGCUCACCCGACUUUGUGUCAGUCUUGUGUCCUCCACGGUACUCGACGAUGAUCCCAGCCAGCGGCCAUCGAGUUCGCUCACCCGACUUUGUGUCGGUCUUGUGUCCUCCACGGUACUUGGCGAUGAUCCCAGCCAGCGGCCACCGAGUUCGCGCACCCCGAUUCCGCUUUCGCCUGGUGCCCAUUGCAGUUGCCGUUCUUCACGUCCUUGUGCUCCGCUACUUUGAGGUCAAAGAAGGGCAAGCCCCGUCCGAAGGGAGGAAGGAGCUGCAGGUCAGCGCUGAUUGCUCCCUUGUGACGAUGCAAGUGGGCUCCGGGUGAGAAUCUGCGGGUCCGGUGCACCAACAGCCACGUACAGGAAAUUGCGCCCACUCAGGCUCCGUCUCAUUAGGGAGGGACUCCACAGACCUGACCUGCUGCUCGUCAGCUAGUCGGCAGUGGUUGGGGACCGAAUUGGUGGUGGCCUGGUGGAAGUAGGGGUCUGGCUGCUGGAGGAGCAUGGGCACGGCAGUAGGGGCAUCGCAAAUGAGAGGGCAAAGGGGCGCGGCGCGGGAGGAAGGGGCCGACGGCGGAGGACGAGUGUCCGGAUAGAGCCUGGAUGACAUGGGGCGGCUUCAUCACUCCAUGGUCACAAGAGCUCCGAGUUCAUACUCGAGGGAGAGAAGAUGAGGAUCCGUCUGUGCUUUUUUUGGCACAGAAAAUAGCAGAUCGGGAAGAAAAGAAAGGGGACCAUCAGAUGCCCACAAUGUGCAAUGGGAGCACGAAUCGGAGCAUAUGCGAGGAGCUCUCAGCAGGGUCCUGCUCUAUGUCGGGUGGAAUGUUUAGAAGAAGAUAAAGUGGUGUGUCUUCAUGAAUGAACGCCUGUCAGUUUUGGAAGUGAUCUUCUGGACAAGGAUGAAACUGGCCUUCAUCGCUCCGCAUGAGAGCUCAAUUCAAUACUAGAGAACUCAACUGGGAUGUGUGCCCUUAAAUCAGGGCCUUUUUGUACAUAAUUUUUUUUUAUGAAUGGGCAGUAGGUCUGCCUCUUCCUCAAAAAGAAAAGGAAAAAAAAAGAACGAUAGUCUAUAUGAAAUAACCAAAACCAAAUAUGUAAUGCCUGAUCGAAAAUAAUGAAAAUCAAAUUAUGCAAAAAGACAGCAAUUGAAAUAUUGAAUAACACAUAUGUUCUCAGCUAACGACGUUUUUUUGUAACAAACCAAGUACAACUGCCAGCCUUGCUCUUGCUUACUAAUUUGAGAUCGUUCCAUAAUAUUAAGUUAUUAACUCGCUAAGCUCAAGAAACACUGCACUCAAAAGCACUGACAUGAACAGAAGGUAUCAUGUGUCAGGUGGACCGUUGGUACCCAUUAUCACUUCAUGACUAAAAGCCAAUGUGCUAUUCAACUUUUGUAGUAUGCAAGAGAUACAGUACUAGCGCGAGCACAUGCACAAGUAAUUUUAGAGCAUGAAAAGUGUAGCUAUAAAGUAACACCAAGCCCACAUUUAGUAACAGCAGUUCCCAGCAACAUGUCCAAGUAAUCACAAUUAUAAGAUCAGUUUAAUGACAUCUGAUUGCAUGCCACUCUUAAUACAUAUAGCUAGAGGGAGAAACAAAAUAAAUUAUACUCAACAUUAGCCAGAAAUUUUUAUGUUUAGAUAUGUCUGAGAAAACAAUGGCCACAACAAUUUACCAAAAAGCAUUCUUCAGCUGUAUGCAGGACUAUAAGGACCAGCGAUCUUGACGGGCAUAAUGGUGGCGUAAAAUUGUAUACUAAUGCUGGAGGAUGAAUACACACAAAUCUAACGCCAGCAUAAUCACAUACACCACAGGACAUAAAUUUCGAUUAAACUAGUAUACUACAUGAAUAAAGUGAAGCCAUCGAGCUUCAAGUGUCCUAAUCUACUAGCCGUUUCCAGAAGAACAAGCAGUAAAAAUGCAAAUGAGGUGUCCACUGAUCAAACCUAACACACUUAUCAUCGAUGCAGAGCAAAACUUGGCACAACACACUUAUCAUCGAUGCAGAACAAAAAUUGAAUGGAUGCUUUUAAAAUGGCGAACUGGAUGUUGGGCAGCAAUAAUGCCCAUGAGAUCUUGGUAAUCACUGGGCUUAAAAAAACAUACUUUUAACAAUUCACAACUCACACAGCAUCUCCCGUCGUUUCCAAAAAAAAAAAACAAGUAAAAACACCAAUGUCCAACCGUCUGAAUAGCAGUCAUAUCCGAUCUAGAUACAGUAUGCCAGGCGAGCACAGAUUAAUUCCGAGGAUGUCAGCAGGGCUUUAACUAAUCACCGGACGAAUUAUUAAAAAAAAACUCAUACCUAAAGAAACCCCAGUUGUGAAGAUCGCAGACGGGGGGUCGAGACGGCAGGCGACGCGAUGAACGUACGGCGUCAGCGGCAGGCGGCGGCGGCGCUCCGCGGGAGCUCUAGGGCGCGGCGGCGGUGGACUGGAGCAGAUAUUUUAGAGAGGGAACCGCAUUGGGUCGGCGGAUUGGAGGAGCUCGGGUAGGUCAGGGCUCAGGGGAGAGGGAGGGGAAGAGGAAAGACAGCUACCGGUGCGGGGCGGUGGAGAGGAAACCGUGGAGGAGGAGAUGGGGAGGAUGGAUGGAAGAGCCUGGGCAUAUUGUUUUGUUUUCUGUGUAGUUGUAAUCGGAAUAAUAAAUAAAUAAACAAAAGGAAUUUAGGUGUAUCUGUGGGCAUAUAUGAUGUCAGACUGUCAGUCUUUUUUGUUCUUUUGGAGAAGAUGCCACCUGGAUUCUUUUGAUUUUUUUGGCUGGAUAAUGACCUGUUUGAAUUGGGGUCGAUGUGUGGCAAAAAAAGAAUCUAGUUCUGUACAAGACGCGUCAGUCAUCUUUUAGUCACAUGUUUCUAAUGAGUUCUAAUCGUCAGAAUUUUUAGAAGCAUAGAAGAAUUAAUCAUUAAUUGCUACAGAUGGAUGUAACUUAUUGUACUAUACAAAUUUUUUGGAGGAAUGCAAUUAUGAAUGGCUAGAGAUAGCUGACCGAAAAACAUGACCAUCUAUGGCCCCGAUGCACAAUAUAAAAAAAGUACUACGGAGUAGCAGAACACUCUGAACUGUAAUAUUAUUCACCUGACUUCCUUUUUUUUCAAGCUCGCAAUUAGUGGUAUAUAUUUUCCCGAUUCUAAAUUCUUGUUUCAAAUUUGUCUAAAUAUGAAUGUAUCUAUUCUUAAAAGGCUUCUGAAUGCAUGUAAUAUCGGAGGGAGUAGUAUUUUUCCCAUGUUAUAAAAAAAAAUAUGCACACUUUUUACAAAAGAAAACUUUGAAGUGACGAUAAUGAUGCCGUGUGUGUCUGGCUCACAUGUUACUUUCGCAUAUACCAUGCAUCGGCCACGCUACCCGGAAUUUCGAAAUCGCGCACCGAGAAACGAGAAGGAACGGAUUAACUAAACUACAGCACCUGCCUAAAAUAACCGCGUCUCAACCAAGAUCCAACACAAAAGAAAACCACGCUUGACUCACGUUCACGGGAAUUCGAAAAAGGGCACUGAUGCGAAUUCGCAGCAGACUAGUAACUACAGAAGUACGGAGUCACAUGUAAAGAAGUACGGAGUACUGUGUACGACAACGCAACGCUAGCUCUCGUGCGACCGUAUACUACCGUUCGUUGUUCUCCAGAUCUGAAUUUACAUACACCCAAAACCAAAAUUAAAAACCAAACACAAGCAACCGCUUCAACAGUUCAACACCAUCUGCCCAAAUAUCACCAAACAACACUGCAUAGUAAGAUUAAACGAAUGCCGCGUCAAUUAAUCGAACCACUCAUGCAACACCCACAAAACCCAAAACGUAGGAAGAAAAGUAAUUACGGAUCGUACGACGCACGGACAUGCCCAACAAAAAAUUGUUGGAAAAAAUCGACCUGCAAUAGCAUUAGUAGUACCGGAUCUCGCCAAGAUUGGAUGGAUACAGUACAGAUAUAAUAGACAGAUCCAGAGGAAACAUUUGAAUCGGAAAGGAAAAUCACACGGUACCUUCAAAGGCGGUGAUCUUGCUUUGUUGCCCGGCAGAGAGAACGGGAGAGGGGCUGUUCGAGGCCGGGAGGGGUUUGGAAGAGUUUAAGGAGAGGAGCGCGACCGAGGACUGAGAGAGGCGGACCACACGGAAGUACACAGGUUUACAGCUACAGCAGCGGCCAGGUCACACAGCUGGAAGGAAAGGAAGCCUUUGCACAGCGUCACGCGACGCGCCUGCCUCGUGAUAGUUAAAAUCAGUGGCUAUGUGUGUCUAUCUAUAACCCCAACCUGAAUCGGUGUUUAUAGGGAGUAGUACUUAUCUAUCCGCCUCUAUAUCGAACCACGUACUAAUACACAUUGUGCCGUGCCACGUUCAUUUAAUCUGCCAGCCAAGAAACAAAGCCUUUUUCUAUUCCUUCUCUCGCACACACAUACGUAGUGAAAGCUGCACGAGCGUCCGUUUCUCUUUCGCUUUGCAUAUGUGUAGUCACCGGCGCCGUGUGAUUCCAGACCCGAGAGGCCGUAGGGUAACCGGUGUUGUGGCUUUCUUUCAUUCAAGAAAUGGUGACGAAGGUAUUGGAGUGUUGGGCCUUUUGUUUUUUCCAAAUGUCGUGUGGUUGAUUAGGCUAAUUUACCAUUUACCCCUCAUUUUACGCCCGGAAUUUCGCCUAUGUAUGCUUGAUUUUUCCAAUUGGAGCUGGUUUAAACAUUUGGAAGCCAGACAACACAACAAAAACGGUGGCUUCAGAUGAACACGUGUCUCUGUAGAUGGUAGAAUUUAGCCAUAUGAUUUGGAUUCAAUUCUCAAACUCGUUUCCCAUUUGUCUUGGCACGGGACUAGCUGGGCCUUGGGCUUCAUGCUUUCGUCUUGGACCAGGCUUGCCUUGUUUCACUCAAACAGGCAUGGCCCGGCCUGUAGAGUUCAAAAUUUCCAAAUACCACGAAAUUUCCAGAAUACUUUCCAAAGCGGCAAAGUUUUCAAAUUCAAACGACUGGGUACACCAAAAAAGCCUUGUAACAAGAGCGCAAGGCAUUAACCAUCUACCUGGCUGUUUAAUUAACCCUGGAUACAUUCCACAUCGACAAGAGCAACUGCAGAUCACUAAAUAAGAUAAGCACAUGGAAAUUCAAUACCCAAAGGCUACGGUAUUACAACAUAAAGCCUACAGAACAUUUUCUCUUUCAAACAAAAAAAGAGAAAGCCUAAGGAACAUUAGCUAGUUUCAAAGCAAGUUCCAUUUGCUUGGGGAGGUCGGUCAAUAACACAAUCAAAAUGUAGUCAACUCAAAACACCUCGUGGACCGCCAUACCCCAAAUCAAAACAUGGCAACAUACAUAGUUCUGCAUCUGAACACACAGCUCACGAGAUCACAUCCUGUCCUCCCUCCUGCGCGGCGCGCAGGUUAUGAUCUCGUCGACCCUGAGAAUCAUCUCAGCAGCCUCGGUUGCCGACAGGAUAAUGGCUUGCUUCACCUUGAACGCUUCGCAUAUCCCCCGCUUUUGCAUGUCUCCUACCUGCAGAACAACAAAACCAUAGUGCUCAGUUUCAAACCUGAGUAAAGUUCAAUACAAAUUCUAAUUACUUCCAAGAACUUACGUUGCCUGUGAUGACAUCAAUUCCAGCAGUACUGUUCUCUUUGUGGUGCUCAGCUCGGAGCUGGGAGAUCAGCUCAGCACUAUCCAGACCAGCAUUGUCAGCUAUGAUUGUUGGGAUGGCUUGCAGGGCACGCGAAAAAGCAUCGAUAGCAUGAGAUUUCUUGCCAGGUGUCUUCCGUGCAAGUUGAUCCACUUCUUUCGCCAUCACCAUCUCAGGCCAUCCACCACCAAAUAAGACACGGGUGUCAUUUACUGUCUGGGAAAGCACACAUAAGGCAUCAUGCAAGGACCUCUCAGCCUCAUCAAGCACAUGCUCACUGUAGACAAAAGAACACAUCAAUGAGUGGAAAAGAAUCAAAUGCCCGAAAAUAAUACAGUGGGAUACUGCAUGAUAAGUAGCUAGCACAACAAGACAUACCUUGCUCCUCUCAAGACAAUGGUGCAAGCUUGCCCCAUUGCAACCCCGGAGAAAUGAAUUAGUCUGUCCUCACCGAUCAUAAUCUCUUCAAUGAGCUUGCAGUGCCCAAGCUUAACAGACUCUGGGUUGUCAAAAGUGGACGCAAUAUCACCGCCAGUGACAAGAGCAAGCCGUUCAAUGCCUUCAAAGUCAGCAUGCUCGACUGCGAGUAUGCCAGCAUCAGCAAAAAGUUCUUCAGGGAAGUUAUAGAUUAACUGCCUGUUGACAAAGCAGUUGAUUCCGUGAGCAAUGAUUUUUUGCACUUUCUCUCUCAUUUUCUGCUUUUCAGCAGCUUCGAUAUCUGCAACCUUAGUCAUUGAAUCCACCCGGACGCGUGCCCCAUAAAUCUUGACUUUAUCUGUGUCCAUAGCAGUGUUUGCAACCAAAAUAUUAGCGUUUUCAAUUCGCUUUGGUUGCCCAAGGCCAAUCUUCUUGUCAAGAAUGAACCUACAAAACAGAAUCAGAACAUUAAACUGAGAACAGUAUUAUGAUCAUGGUUGUCUGCCUGGAAAUGGUAUACAAAUGAUUUAAUGUAGGCCGAGUAUUCACACAGGGGCAUGCAGCGUUAGUUGAUCUACUUAGAAAACACCUUAUUAUGAUCUAAUCGUCUAAAGAUAGUAAUAAAAAGAUUAAGUUUGGAUACGAAAGAACAAAUUCCCUACAAUAUAGUUUGCGAAAGAACAUACCCUUCAUCCAAAAAGGAAUCCUUAAGAGAACCUCCAGGUUUCUUGAGAAUUUGGAUUGAUUCCAAGUUAGUGCUACCCUGCCACCAGUGACAAGUGCAGAGGAUAUCAGAUCAAUGUUUAAACAAUAACAAGUAACAAAGCCACUGAGUAACUGUGCACUAGAAAAACUAUAUAUCCAACAAAAAGAAAAGAUAUAUGAUUGCAUACUUCCAACCAACCAUUUUGAUUUUUUCAUACCUUAAGCCUUAGGACAGCAUCAACUGCAAGUUCAGCAAAGUACUCCUUGUCCUGUGAGAGAAUCUUUGAACUAAGGGUGGUCAUAGCAAUGUUCAUGAGAUCAGAUCUGAACUUAUCUGCAGCACAAAUGGAGGUUGAUCCUCGAUAAAUUAUAAGGAGUGAAAGUGAAAUUAUACAUUUGACUGAAAAUUUCACCUAACUAACACAACUAUAUGCCCCGGAAAAAACCCAACACAGGCAGCUCUCAAUGGUACCAGAUCAUAUUUGCUAGUACCACAGGAAGUGAGGUUUGGAGGAUUUAAAAAAGGCAAAAUGGAUAUCCAUGCCAACUUGCCCAGGACUUACACAAUCUAACAUAGUGCUCCAUGUCAUAUUACUAAUAAAAGAUGUUUACCAUAUUGCAGAAGUUCAAAUAUAGCUAUACAUAUGAGAAAGUAACUAAAUAAGUCACCUGUAUUUCCUUUGUUGUCCAUGGUCCUUUGUAGCAAAGCAUUUCUGGCACACUCAGCAGCCAUUCUGUAACCUGGUUCACAAAGAAAUGAAGCAUUAGAUAUGCUCAAUUAUAACAAAAAGAUUGGUUCCAGCUCUGUAAAUAGCUCCAUGAUGUGUUAUCAUCUCCACAAAAACUGGCAAACUAAAUGACAUUAGAAAUAAAAACACAAACAGGAAAAAGAAGAGAAAAUAAACAUAACUUAUAGUUGCUCAUCACCAACAUAAGUAGUCUUAUUUGAAAAAUAAAAUCUGACUGUUACCUGAACUGAGGAAGAUGCUUUUUAACCAAGGUUUAAGCAUUAAAAAACUAAAAGUUAUACAAGCAUAAAGGCGAUUUCUACAAUUCAAAUAUCCAAAUGAUCUGCACAAUUUGUUAUUCAAUCAUUACUUAACAAAGAUUCACUUAAAUGUCUGAUUAUCUACUCCCUCUGUCCCAUAUUAAGUGCCGAAAUAUUACAUGUAUCUAGACGCUUUUUAGGUAUAGAUACAUCCAUAUUUGGACAAAUUUGAGUCCCUUAAUAUGGGACGGAGGGAGUACAUGAUUUGUCAUUGGAUCAUUACCCAACCAAGAAUCACUUACAUGCAGUGAAGUGUCAAUUAAGAGUUACACAAUACUCAAAUGUUACGAUAACAUAUUGAACAAUUGAUGUUAAAAAUGACGAGUACCUGCAAUAAUAGUCAUUGGAUGAAUUUUCAUGUUGACCAACUUUUCGGCCUCCCUCAAAAGUUCUCCAGCCAAAACGACAACAGAAGUUGUUCCAUCACCAACUUCAUCAUCUUGAACUUUCGAGAUGUCUAAUAUACUCAUUAAGGAUUGAAUUUUCUUUCUAUUAGGCAGAACAUUAAUAGGCCGUAAAAAUUAAGUGGGGUCAGGAGAAGAUAUAAGACGCAUAUAUUGCCAGAUCAAGAAACAAUAAUCACCUUAGCGUGAAAAUCAUCAAUGAAUAGAUUCAAAGAAAAGGAUACCAACUAGGACCUUCGCAGCAGGGUUGUCAAUAUGAAGAGAUUUCAAAAUAGUAGCACCAUCAUUUGUAACAGUAACACUCCGCCCUCUGCCAGUUGAUUGAAGGAUCUUGUCCUGAACAUAAAUAAGGAAACAGGUAACUGUUAUGGAAAAUACACUAGCAUUCAGAUGAAUGCCAUCUUUCAUCCAAAUUCAUCUAAAAACACACUAGCAAAAUCAUCUACUUGAAGCACUUAUGGACGUACCAUUCCUUUUGGUCCCAAUGUGGUCUUGACUAAGUCCGCGAUUGCCAUGGCACCAACAAAAGAUGCCUGUGAAGAGAUGAAAUCCAUGGACGUGAUAUACAAGAAACACGUAUAUAACCAAAAAAAAAAGGUCAAUUCCCAAAUCAUAACUUUUACAGUCUACGUGACAGUGUAGAUCAGUGCCAUGAACUCUUUCAUUGCACAAUAUUUUUGCAUAAGUUAACCAAACUACAACACACCCUCAUCACAGAAGAAUCAAGCUCAUUGCACGCUCUAAGUUGUAAAAGCACAAGCUAAUAAAGGCUUCCUAAUUUGGGUACUUCCCCAACUAUCCGUUACAAGCUGGGAAACCAGCAUCGAAAGAAGCAAACCCAAAUCAACUACAAAACCAAGCGGAUCAGAGAGAGAGAGAGAGAGAGUUGCUGUCUCACCAUCCUGGCGCGCUCGCCCUUCUCCUGGAUGGUGUCAUCCUUCAUUACCCUCUCCAUCUCUAUUCAAAACAAAUACAGAAAAAUGUCAGGAUCAAAUCAAGCCCAUCAGCAGCAGACCUUACCUAGAGUUGGAGAUCGGGGUUCAGCUGCCCCCACGGGCGGAGGACCCAGUAGGGCAAGGUAGGGCGGCCGCCCUACCGUGAUUUUUGCCUCAGUUACGAAUUGGGGAAGAUUAUGACGGGGAGCUCAAGGGUUCGUGGGGUGAUGGGAGGUCGAGAGAAUCGAAGUGUAGAUACCUUCGGUGGAGGAAGACGAGGCAGGGGGCUGCAGCGCCCGGCAGCGGGAAGGGGAGGCAGGGGUGGCGGCGCUCGCGCGAGGAGGAAGACGAGAGACGGAGGAGGGGACUAGGGCGCUCUGCACCGAGAUGGGCCAAAGUAUAUAGGUGGCCAACGGGCCGGCACAGGCCCAGCUCGGGAUAAACGGGCCUGGCCCGGGCACGGCCCGGUGAAGCCUGACAAUAGGCAGCCGGGCCGGCACCAAAACUCCUCCUCCAGGCCCAGGCGCCGCAUCAAACCCGGACAGGCCGGCUUGGGCCCGUUAAACCCAACGGGGUCCAGCAAGGCCCCUCAGGCCAAAGGUAGAAAAAAAAUAAAAAAAUGUUAGAUUUGGCCAAAACUGGUUGAGAUGAUGGACCAAAUAUAAAAAUGAGUUGUGUUGAGUCAGAAUUGAGUAGGUUAAUGAGCAAAAUGUAUUAAUGCUAAAAAAGAAAAAAAAUGUAAACGAUCUGUGCCGGGCCGGCUUGAGAUUGAAGCGCAGGCACGUCACAGGCAAGGCCUAAGGCCGGCCCAGCCCGCCGAGGUCCAGCCCAAUAAUUUUAUACGCAAUACAUACAUCCGUCCCUACUUGAUCUCAUGCCAAGUUAACAUGUGUUAUAAUUAUGCCGGUUGUUAAUUAGGGUUGGGCGCAACCAGGCUGCUAGUUUCUUUCGAGCAUGUGGCGCAUGAACUCGCCAGAUGACAACACCAAUAGGUUCGGUUCUUCGGGUUUUCAGGAAAUUCUAACCAAUCAGUUCUUCCCAGAAUUGCUAACCGAUCGGUUAUUCAAAAGUUUGGUUCGGUUUUCGGUUCUAACCGAACAAAACCGGAAUCUGUAGUUCAGAGGAAAAAAGUGUUUCAUGCGCCGAGCCGGAGUACUGACGACUGCCGGAGACGGCGGGGCGCCGCCGGCCGCUGCACGCGGCUGCUGGAGUCCGUGUGUCCACACCGGCCGCCGCUCGCAGCUGCUGGAGUCGGCGUGAUGCCGCCGGCCGCCGGGAGGUCGGGGCAUUGGAGAUCCAGAUUGGAAAUCGGCAGGGAGGAAAGCAAUCCGCAAGAUAGGAAGGGAAUUGACAGAGAGAGAGGAAGGAAAUCUGGAACAACAAAGGAAGGAGGGAGGGGAAUCAGGAGAUGAGGGAUGGAGAUCGCACGUUCUAGCGUCGGGAGCAGACGAGCAGUGGAGUUGGGGUCGAGGGAUUGUGCUCGUGCGUCGGGGGAUCUGGGAGUGGGCUAGAUGAGUAGGUAGGCGUUUUCAAGAGGCACAGAUGGGCUGGGUUAUAUUUUGGUGGGCUGGGCUACGAUUCGGUUAGUUCCGGUAUUUCGGUUAACCGAGGUGAUUGACCGGACCGACUGAAAUUUCGGUCCAAUCGGCUCCAGUUAUCGGUUUCCUGCGACUAUUGAUUAACUUAGCUUAGUUGGUUCGACCGAACACCAAGUGAAGAUUUUUUUUAAUUAACAUAGGAUAAAAACCCAAACUAUAUAACGAUUUAUGUAUAACCCAAAAAUAAAAAAAAUAUAUGAAAAAGUCAACAUAUCUCUACGAUACUGGUACCAAACUAAUACAAGUAAUUUUAUUUAGGACAUGGCUAUAUCUUAGAUGCCUGAUUUUAAGCAAAAUAUUCAAAUCUCAAUUGGCACAUCAAACCUGUUGAUUCAUGAUCUGAGUGGACGUCACACUUUUCUCUCCCCCAAUGCAGUCAUUGGAUUAAGAUUCGACAGUUAAACUCGUGUACUGAUUAGCAUAGAAACAUGAGACUUGUUCGUAGCAAAUCCAUUUUACUUACUCCUAUUUUUAUUUGAAAAAACGGAGGACGAGUAAACCCCGUCUUCCUCACUGUGCUCCGACCCGAUGGCGUCCGCCUCUGCCUCCAGUUACGUUAACUAAUCGACGUCGCCGAGCGCACCCACGUUUCGCUGCUCAACCCAAUCGCCUCCCCGCGCAGCUCCUCCGGAAGGUGGGGUUUUCCUCCCACGGUCAAAACCUAGCCUACCACCACCAGCCAACACUGCCAUGGGGCGAUGGCGGGGGCCGUCCGUCGUUGGAAGUUGGAUGCCGCCGUCAGCCGCACCACCGCCGUGCUCUCCGCCUCUGGCGGGGUCCGCAUCGCGCGCCGGCGCGGGGCCUCUCCGUCCCUGCCGCCGCUGCGCGCCGUCAUGAACCCUGGUCCUUGCUUGGCGGAGCAGCGCAUCCACUGCUGCAGGUUCACCCUCUGCGGCCUGCCGUCCAUGCUCGGACGCCGCCCCGGUAGUGGACCGGCGCCACCGCCCUCUACACGGUAGGCCCUCGCGCCGCCCUUUAUUAUAGUAAGGUAUGGGAAGAGGGGUCUGCAUUCGGUCUUCUAUAGUAUAGUGAUUUUUCUUUAAGAAAAGUAGGUAUUUAACUAUUACUUGCUCCGUUCCUAAAUACUUGUCGCUGUUUUAGUACAAGUUUGCACUAAACCGGCGACAAGUAUUUAGGAACAAAGGGAGUACAAUUUAUAAUGGAGUGGGUUAUAUGCCUGCUAGUAUGAGGAAUAAGCUGGCAAUUUAGGACCACAUGAAAGAAAUGAAAUGUUAGCUGAGAGAUAGUUUGUUUAGUAACUUUUAAUAUGCUCUCUAGCUAAUCUGUUGUAGCUAAUGCAUAUUCAUGUCUUAGAUUCAAAUGUAUGUGCAAGCGUCAAGCAGAUGAUGUGCCCUGUUUCCUUCCUAAGCAGUUCUUUGUCCACUUCACUACACUCCAGCACCUACGCACCAACUCACCAUUAGUUUUGUUUCUGGCUGUUGGUAUAUACUAGAAAAUUGAGUUGAGUACGACGUUGAGCUGUCUCCAUAAGUAGGACAAGUUUUUGACAGAUUGGAUCUGCAAUAGACUGGCACCUUAAUUCAGGUCAACAGGUAAACCCUGGCAACUCCCAGACAAACCUAUACGUUCUUAGGACCUUAAACGAAUCUUGAUGCAUAAUUGCUGUAGUUUACGGGUAUGGGGACAAAUACUAAAAAUAAUGCUAAUUGCGAAAUUUAGCAAACCAUCUGCAGGCAACUAGGCAAGUAGUACGUUAUUAUCUCUAGACUCUCGAGAGCAGCUGUCUUCUCAUACACUUCGGUCUCGACUGAAAUGGGCUACGGCGUACCUCCGGCUCUGGUACGUAUGGUAUCCUCGAUCUCGUCCUUUAAGCGGAUCUCUUUAGCAUUUAGCAUUCAGAUGCAAUAUCGAUUAACUUAGCUAGAGUAGACCAUGUUAAUUAGAUGCUUUUGGCUUGGAUAUGAUAUCAGUGUAACUACCUAAUCUUGAUUACAGUGCAAGGCUGCCGCAAGGCUGGAAGAUGCGGUGAAGGUUCUGAAUAUCUGGGUGCCCCGGGGAGUGGUGAUUCUCAGCUUAGUCUCGUAUCUUGUCCUCGCCGUCUUCUCAGAGAUCCGCCGGCGUAAAGCUCAUGGUUUUCAGAGAAAGUCAGUGUGGGUGAUGUACCAGCUGAGCGAAUGGGUCCCGAUGUAUGUCCUGAGCAACUUGUACCUUGAAACCUCGCCACACGAUAAGCUGAUCACUGCGUUCUGGUUGCCGUUCCUCCUGCAGCACCACGCUCGACCGGACAACAUCAGCGCCUACUCCAUGGAGGACAAUGAGACCUGGAAGCGACGAAUGUUUUUUGUUCCCUUCCAGAUCAUUGGAGUCAUCUAUGUUUUGUACAGGUUUAUACUUGUCAACUGUGCUGCUGGGAUCUUGAAGAAGGCUUCCUGGAUCACAUUUUUCUUGGGCAUUUUCAAGUAUGCGGAGAGUGCGAUUGCUCUGCGCCGAGGGAAUUUGGACAUCAUAUGGAGCUCAUUCAAGUGCCGGCAGCUAAGUAGCAGCUUCGUUGGUGAUUAUGGUGGAGGCAAGAAGCUAGAUGACGAUGAGAAAGCCCUGUUGGCUGCUCAGGACCUGUUCGAUAUCUGCAAGGGUGCCUUCUCUGAUUAUUCCGUGCAGUACAUAGAUCGUGAUGCCGUCAGAAGCAUCUUCUCUGAUGAUUGGGAGAAUAUGUGCAAGGUGGUGGAGAUGGAAAUCUCCCUCAUGUAUGACAUCCUCUACACCAAGACACCCGUUGUCAACACUUGGGUUGGCUAUGCCAUCCGUGUGGCCUCGCCGCCCCUCACAGCCGCCGUGAUUGUUCUGUUUUACUUGCAUCCUAGAGGUGGCAUGAAGACAGCAGAUUUCGUCAUCACUCAGAUAUUGCUGUGGACGACGUUCCUCCUCGAUGUCAGAUGGCUGCUCAGAGCACUAGCUUCGACCUGGACACAUUCAUUCUUGAAAGCUCGGCCGCAUUGUUGGUUCUAUCAUGAAUUUUUGUGCCAGGGGUUAUGGAAGAAGCUCCGCUGCUUUGUUGUGUCUCUGUAUCCUUCCAAGCUCUCCUUGUGGUUGUGGACAUGUGAAAGUGCCAAGGAGGUCAAAAGCUACAGGAGGUGGGCGCGCAACAUUGGGCAGCGCAACUUGUUGGACGAGUGCACUACUGGUGACAUGUACAAAGCAGUGGGGAGAAGCGAGAUUGAACCAGUUUACCAGUACCACUCGAUGGAAAUUGAGGUUCCACACUAUGUGAUGAAGCUGGUCUUCGAAAAUAUAUGCACAAAGUUCUUCCCUAAUACUAGCACUCCCGUGGACCCCACGAACGUCUCCAACGGUGAGUACGGCGAUGGUCCAUCACAUAACGGCGGGGGUCGCCCCACCUAUGUGCCUCGGACCUCACCCGUGGGGUCAUCCCAGCAUCCCUCACCACGGCGCGGGGGUCACUCCACAAGUGUGGGCGACGUGGCUCCGACUCCGACCUCACCCGUGGAGUCAACCCGGCCUCUCGACAUCCUUCCCCCUUAUCUUGGGCAGCGGUUGCCGCCCUGCCGCUGGCGGCCGUUUCGGUGGCCGUGGUCGCGGACUGGAUAGUUCCGCAACAAGCUGCAAAUGCCCCGCCUGGACUCCCCUACAACCCCUACGAGCAACAAGCUCAUCGCUGGAGUCUUGGCUAUGCUGCUUACAUGCAUCAUGAAUCCCAACCUGAACCCAACGAGCAGCAUGCUGUUCACGGGAGGAAUGGCCACGCCAGUUUCAUGUAUGAUCAUCAAUCCCCGCCUGAAGCCCCCUACGAGCAAGUUCAUCAUCACGGGAGGCAUAGCCGCAGUGCCAGCCUGCACAAGGAACGAGAUUAUGCAAUCAAGUCUCCAAAAUCAGAAGGCGGAGGUAAGGACCUCCCUCUUGAAUUCCAAGAGGUCAUCCUCAUCUGGCACAUCGCCACGGAUGUUUUCCUCUCGUGCAGCCCCUGUAUCGAAGGAGAAGAGGCUAAAGAACAUGCGGAUGCGAUCAAGGGGAUGUCGGAUUACAUGGUGUUCCUCGUUGCUGAACGCCCCAGCAUGCUACCGGGACUUAAGCUCCGCAGCAUGUAUGAAACAACCCGCCGUGCUCUGCAGGGGAUACGGGAGAAGAGGGAGGUCAGUAAGAGGUACUCAUCGAAGAAGGAGCAUGCUUCGCGGAUGCUGGAAGAAGGCAAGGUUACUCUUACGGGCCCAGAUACUGCUACUAUAAGGGAAGGAACUAAACAAGCUCGAUUGCUGCUGAGCCUACUACUGCCUCAUCAAGAGCGUCUGAGAGGUAAACACACCUUGGGUCCAAAACUUGCACACUGGAUUCCAGACUUGGAGGAUCCUAUUCCUAGGACUAUGGAAAACAUGUUGAAGUUCAUCUUGGAUGGCUGGGUGCGUCUGCUCAUCUACGCGUCGAUCCGAUGCAGCAGGGAGUCCCACGCUGAGCAGCUCGGUCGUGGCGGGGAGCUCACAACCCUCCUAUGGAUCAUAUCAGAACACGCGGGGAUUGAUCUUGUCAAAAAACAUAGUCCAGGAUAUUUCCGUGAUGCUCCUCAUCUCUCCAGCUAAUGUGUACUCUCCUCCAGUCCAUUUGUUGUGCUCCAAGUACUCAUAUCUCUGGUUUGGUUGUCCUCUUCCUCUGUAACAAUAAUAAAUUCUGGUUUGGUCGUUCUUUUCUUUUCUAUCUUUGCUCUGUGUUUUUAUUAAUAUAAUCACUCACUGGGAAAACUAAUUGGUGAAUUUAUAGAUUGUUACAGCCUGCUUGUACGCUGUAUGAAAAUCUUGUAGGUGGGAGCUAACAAAAGGCCCUAAUUCUAAACAUGCCUUGCAUCAGCUUAUGCUCGUCUGAUAGGACCUUGCGAGUGCGGCUGUAUACAAUUCGAAUUUAAGCAGGAAAAAUGUACUCUCUCCGUUCCUAAAUACUUGUCGUCGAGUAUUUAGGAACGGAGUACGUGAGAAACAAGCAAGCAUGGUUGGCACUGUACAGCAAAACUGCUGUACGAUACCAACAAAUACGGGAAGCAAAGGAAGCAUGCAUAGAUGGAGUUAUCGGUCAGAUCUUGAAAAUGAGCUCGGAGAAAACCGGUAUCUAUUUUUCGUCUCUCAACUUGUGGAGAACCGGUACACAAAUACAGUAGUUUUUAAACUCUCUUUCCGUAUAUUUCUCUGCAGGCCUUCAGACUCUGCCCUGAAUGUUUGACACGAGGCUUCAAACUUUUAGCCUUGGUCAUUGGUAGUCCAGCUAAGAAAAGAAGUUAUUGGUAGUCUUCUUUUUUUUUGAGCGAAAGUUAUUUGUAGUCAAACAUUCAGGGCUCUGGGUGUCUAGUGUCCUUUUUUUUGUUUUGUAAAACCGCCUCGUGUCAGGCUCUUCCUGUUAUUAGUCAGAAAAAUGGAGGCUUUCCUUGUUAUCAGUCAGAAAUUCGAGGCUUCGGGCUAGGCCUCUGCGGGUUUCAUGUUUUACAUUUGUCGUCGUCCCCGGCGCCGGCUAGUCGGCGUCGUGAAGACAGGUAGGGUUUGACAUUAGCUUGCUGCUGGCUUUAAACAAAAGGAAGGCGAACGUGCUGCUGCAUCAGAAGAACACAGGUUCCUUCUAAACGUGCCAGACGUUUGAAUUGAGGAUGAUCAGCGGGACCCAUGGGCCAAACAACGGUUCCAUCCUUGGUAAAAUAGCAAAUGCUGGGCAGAGCAACGUUUGUGUAAAACCAAGGAAUUCAGAUAAAAUCAAUAGCUGUAGAAUACCGACUACAAAAAUAAUAUUAUAACAGAUCCAUCGACAAAUACUGAGAAAUAAUCGACUCUUUACACGAAGCAAAACGAAUAGUAGAAUCAUGUUUUACUCGACCAACACACCAAUGUAUGACUUACACAGCAAUAAAGGAACAGACUAAAAAAGCAACAUAGUAUAGCAGCGACUGAACGAAGAUGACAGUAACAGAGAUCACUUCUUUUCCUCCCGAUCGCGGUUCCACUGCUCAAUCUUGGCCCUGCGCUCCUCACUGUUUUCCCUGACAGGGCUCCUCCCACGCCUUGGUGGGCUGCCACCAUGCCUGCGUCUUCCUCCAUCAUCGUACCUGUCAUACCCCCUGCCACCUCCACCCCUCCGUCCACCACCACCCCCUCCACGGUAGCCACCACCAUCACCGCCACGGUAGCCACCACCAUCACCGCCACGGUAACCACCAUCACCGCCGCCACCACGGUAGCCAUCACGACCUUCACGGCGGAAGUCACCACCACGGUCACGAUUGUCCCUCCUGUGUUGCGGGCUUGGGCUGCGGCUUCUCCCGUGGCUCCUCCGGGAACGUCCCCCAUACAGCUUCCUCCGGAGUUCUCUGCCAAUCUGCUUCACAUGCAUGAAGUUACAGUAGCCACCACGGUUGCAGCUGUUCUCCUCAAACUGCCUACAGGUUGCUUCACGGAAGUCGGUCACAGGGGAAUACUCAACAAUAAUUGGGCGGCCAGAGUAAAAGCGGCCUUGGAGGGCAUUGUGAGCAGCGACGGCCUGUUCUUCCUCCCUGAACUGGACAUAGACAUUCCCGAUCAUGUGAUCAGCAAGAUUGUCACACACAUUCAGGGUCUCAACUUCACCAAACUUGCUCAGCUCUUCAUAGAUAUCCUCAUAGAAGUCCUCAAAGUGCUCCUGCAUCUUCUCAGGAUCAAUAGUGUGACCUUGCGCAUCAACUCCUGGGGUGAUCAUAUCAGGGCGCUGGUACAUGUUAGCAAGCACAAUAGUUGGCGACGUGGUUGGCCUGUUGUGCAGACGGGAGCAGCGAUCCCCAUGGCGGCAUGCUCCAAUCUUGAAGUAAAAGGGGCAGUUGACCCUGUCCUUCUCAGUACCAAAAAUUGAUGCCAAGUGCUCCGCCAUGGUUUCACUUCAGCUGCUGUACAAAACCAAGAAAAUAGAAACAAAAGAGUCAAUAAACCUUACCCACAUCACAAGAAUUAAUGUGCUACAUAUGCAUGAUUGCGUUCUCUGGCAAAAACAGUAAGCAAGGAAUACUGGAAUACCUCAGUGCAUUACAGAAGACAAAAUAGCGAAGGGAACAUAUAGGAUUAAACCAAACCAGGUUGGCAAGAACUAUGCAUCUUUUAAUAUCACCAACAAGUACAAUUUCCUGUGAAUUUACCCCUGUAACGCUCACUGUGUGAUUGCAACAUUAUAAAGCUCAAGCUCUUGUAAGAAAACCCUAAUCCCAGUUCCUUUUUAACCUAAUCUGCACACUUACUCAAAAUUGUUAAUAUCAGGAGAACAAUCUGAAUAGAAACAAGACCAAAAGAAUUGUGAUCUACUUCAAGGCAUCAUCGGGACUAGGUCUUGCUCCUAGUAAACUGAUCAGUUUUAACCUAUAUCUGCACACUGUUCAAAACAGUUAAAGCCAGAAGUAAAGAGAUGAAAGUGUCUCCCACUAGAAUGUUAUUGUUUCUGCCCCUGCAACUGCAAAAGAGACCAAACAACAUAGCACAAAAAGAAACAACUUUUUGCCUGUUGCACGAGGGCACUCCUUCUGGGGUAGUAGGCCUUGUUAUAUCCGCCCGAAAAGAAUACUAUUCGAUCCAUUUAAAAACCUAAGCUGCACACCGUUUUAGAACAUUAAUCUUUGUUUGAAGAGGACAACCCAAAACAAAACAAAAAGUACCGACCAGAAUGUCAUAGAUGCACAGAUAAUUUAGAGCAGACUAAACCAUGUUUGUUCACAAACUCUUCUAAUCCAGUAAAACAUCUCAGCUGCUCUAAGCAAAGCUACUGAUAUACAUCUGGCCGAAGAGACUUCUUUUGAUUAGAUGCGCACACAAUCUAGAGCAAACUACUCCAUGUUUGUUCACAAACUCUUGUAAUCCAGUAGAACCACCCUGCUCUAAUCAAGGCUACUGAUAUCCAUCUGACCUAAGAGACUUAUUUUGAUUAGCACACAUAAUUUAGAGCAGACUACCCCAUGAUUGUUCAACGCCUCUUCUAAUCCAGUACAACCACCCGGGUAAUCCCUACCCCAAAAGAUUCAACAAAGAGACAUCAACAGCUGCACAGCAGCAGUUCGCAAAUUACGUUAGGGGAGCUAACAGAUUUACGCCCACUAGAUUUGGCUAACAAGAUUGGUUGUGUGUGCAUUAUGCUGCCAUAAAGUACGUUCAAUAAUAAUUCGAAAAGGAUUUCAAGCAAGCAGCUCACUGCUUAUUCUCCUCGUCUUAUUCCCCAAAAUCCUGUCCAUGCGGCCAAACAUGCAAAAACACAAUCGAUAGCUGCUAAUCCAGUAACCCUAAUCGGAACAGAAAUCAAUCAUAGGCAGAGCCGCUGCGCUGGGCAAGGGGCGGAUCUAGACCUAGCGCACCGAGAAAUUACGUAGGCCGGUGGGGUUAAUCUAUUUGGGAGCGGCUAGGGUUGGGCGUGGGGGCGAGGAGCACGAGGUGAGGUAGGAGAAAGGGAUGAGGAUUGACUUACAACGUCCGGCGAGGAAGGGACGGAGCGGCGAAGCCUGCCUUGGUUUGCGCCGGAGCCUGCGUCGUCGAGGGAGCGGCAGAGCGGCGCCGCAGGCGGAGGAAGCGAGGAGGAAGACGGCGGCGAACGAGAGGAGGGCUCGCAGAGGGGGUAUUAUUGGGUUCUUAAAAGGAGGGGGGGAUUGGGGAAGAAAGAUGGCGGCGAGCCUGCAGUUGGAUCUCGAUCUAACGGUGGUCGUUUGCCGCUGAGGAGUUCGCCCUAAGCUGAUUUUUCCUUUUUCCUUGCGGCGACCCUGAUGCUUGUCUCUCGGCCUGACAUACGGGCCCAGCAGAAAACUGUCGUACGAGAACACAAGUUGAGACCUCAACGAAAUCUUGGGAAACACGGUACAAGACGUUGUUUAUUGUGUUUCAUAAAGGUCUCUCAUAAAAUUAGGAUUUUCAAUGUCUGAAAACAUGUCAAACCAACUUAGUAGUUAGUACGAUGCUUUAAAAUGUUUGAUUUUUCAGGAAGGGUUUUUAAAAUAUGAUACCCCCGAAAUUGUAUAAAAUUGUCUUGAAGCAUAUAAAAUCAAAUAAAACCUUAUUAUCAUACCAAAUGGAAUUUGUCUAGCCUUAUCCAAGUGUGGAUUCCACGUUGAUUUUUCUUUUUUGGUAGGGAAAAAACACUUGGAUUCCACGUUGUUUCGUCAUACAUGACGUUUAAGUUCAAGCUGCUAAAAGCCACAUGGCGAGGCUUAACAUAAGACUGGCCAUACAUAAAUCAUAAUGUUACAAAUAUCAGGCUUGUUUUCAUAAUAAUCCUCUCAGCAGACUCAACUAUUGAGUUUGCAUACUUGACGCAUGGCGAGGCUCAGUGUUGAGGUCACAUUUGAGUUUUUCUUACCUUUGUUGGGACGAGGAACAUUUCCAGUUUUCCAUCACUUCAUGUAGGAACCCCAAAAAGGCAUGAAUACAGUUCAUUCCUCACUCUCAGAAAAGGUUUGGUUUCCAGACCAAAGUUGAGUAUUAGUAACCAUAAGUCUGCAGGGUAAUUCCAUCUUGUCGAUCAGACGAUGCAACGAAUAAAACACAACCAUGAACAUGGAAAUUCCAAAAUGUUUAUCCUUAAAAUGUUGUUAUCUUGCAUCAACUCUAGCAACAUGUAUAUGAUGAAGUCAAGUCAACAUGAUUGGGUGUGGCUGAGGCCAAUGUUCCGGUAAAAGAAAGCUUUGAGGAACUAUAGUUCUGCCCAGCCAGCAGUCCCACAUUCAAUACCCGCGCUUUGUUGAAAGAUUACUAGACAGCUCGAUUGCUCAACAUGAGACUGACCAUACAAAAUGUUACAGAUACCAGGCUUCUUUUCUUGAAUAAAAACAUCCCGUUCCCCAAAAGCAAAAAAAUAAAAUAAAAAAUAAAAAAUCAUCGUUUGAUGCCUCUGUGGUGCAGGCCCCUAAGAUUCCAAGAGAUACACUUCGAAAGUCUACUCAGCAUCACAGUUUGUUUCAGGCUUCAACGUCACAUCUGUGAUGGAGAACUGUCCCCCUUCUGAAUUCAGUCCUCCCUAGACCCAAAACCAAACAGUAAAAAAAGAAGUAAUCUGAUUAGCCUCAUCCAAGGGUGCAUUCCACAUUGUUUCAAGGUAUUCAAGGUACAUGCACAGGACAAAACAAUGAUAUUUAAGUCAAGCUGCUUUAAGCAUGGUUGCUUCCAAGAACUAAUGGUGCUUUACCACUCUUUCAGUUUACCAUAAAGCAUUUCAACCAUUGCUCUCUACCAAUAUUUCAUAAACCACAAUGGAUUUGCUUAAACAACAGAAGACAUGGCAUAAUCCUCUCAAUGUACUCAAGUUGAUGAGUUGCAUACUGGAGGCAUGUGUAGGCUCAAUUAAGUCACGUUUAAGUAUCCCUUACCCUAGUUAGGAAGAAGAGCAUUUCCAGCUUCAAUCGGUUCAUAUAGCAACCAGAAAAGGCGUUGACACAGAGCUUAUGUUACUCUAACAAGGAGUUUGAUUCCAACAAAUGAGCUGAGCAUUAAGAUGCUUAGUUAAUAGUAACACAAAAGUCUAGAACUUAAUUCCUCUUGCCAAGUACACAAUACAUUAUAUAAGAACAAUCGUGGACAUGAAAAAUCCAACAUGUUCACGACACAAAUCAGCGAAAAACAACACAAAACGUCGAAAAACAUCUUAUUUAACAUGAUAUUCUCUUUGUGUCAACUCCAGCAAUAACAUUUACGGAGUAUUACUACAUAGUUAAGUAAAUCCAACAAGCCUCCACACAUUGCAAGGAUGUUCUGUAACUUAUUGCAGAGAUCCGCUCAUCAACUCGAUCUAACUCACAACGAUUUCAAUUAACCAACCCAACGCAUUGACUCUCCAUCAAGCAACAUUCAGCAGUUUCUAUCAGAUAUCCUCACCACAACUAAAAAGCUCUGGAACUGUUACUGAAUGAACACUUAUUGCAAACCUGUAUGUAAAUGAUGAGCAGAUGCGUGUCAAUCGAGGCAUAUCUCACUGCCGCGGCCUCCUGCGGAGGAUAAACACAUCGGAUUCCUCGUAGGCGUAGUCCGGGUCGAGGUGCUCCCGCGGCACCUUCUCGAUCACCGGGAAGGCGGCAGGCACGGCUUCCCAAAACGCCUGGUGCGCCUCGGGGGACCGGAUCUGGUACCCGAGGAGCACGACGCCGCGGUCGGCGUCGGCGAGCGCGUCCAUGGCGGCGACGAGGUGGGGCACCGACUCCUGGACGUAGACGACGUCGGCGGCGACGACGAGGUCGAAGCGGCGCGCGGAGGCGAGCUGCGCGAGCUGCGCGGGGCAGUUCCAGUGGAGCUGGGCGAGGCGGGGCACGCGCUGGAGGUGGCGGCGGUUGCGGCGGAGGUUGCGUCGCAGGGCGGGGAGCACGGCGGCGAUGUCGGUGAGCACGAGGUCGGAGAGGCCGAGGCGGGAGAGGCCGAGGCCCGCUGGGCCGCACCCGGAUCCCAGCUCGACGGCGUGGGCGCCGGCGAAGCGGAGGGCGUCGGCGAAGGGGAGGGAAGGGUCGCCGAGGCAGCGCUCGGCGAACUUGACGAGGACGAGGGAGGAGGGCCAGACGGAGGUGCCCACCUCGAAGGAGUCGUUGUCCUGCUCGAAGGUCAGCACGGCGCCGCCCACCGGGAGCUCCACCACCGGAGACGCCGUGAAGCGCAUCUCCGCCGCCCGUCAAGCCACGGAAGCGAGGCGAAAGGGUUUUGGCGUUUCGCCUCUGGGCUCCGCGAAACAGCCGUGAGGUCGUCAGAGACUCAAGAAAAAAAGAAUCACAAUGGAAUGCCCAUGAGAGUCUUCUUACGAAGAGCACUGAGAGACAGGGGUUGAACUGCAAAAACAAAACUCACCAGCGAAGCCGAUUAGGCGAAGCACACUGUCACUGCACACCACCGCGAAUUCGCGAAACAUGAAACUCAAGGAAUAGGAGAGACAAUGCAUCUUUAAAGUAAUGGCAUACCGGCUGUCAAAAAAAAAAGUAAUGGCAUACCGCUCUAUCAUUGGACUAUUAGGUUCCAGCUGACCCUUUAUUUUAUUUAGAGCAACAGGGCAAAAAAAAGCCCCUGUUCCAUUACUAGAAAGAAACAACAUAGUCAUUACUAAUCACCGAAAACAGCUCAAGGUAAAUCAGAAAAUGAGUAAUGUAGCGAGCACCGAAAACAGCUCAAGGUAAAUUAGGAAGCAAGAGAAGAUAAACAUUUCUACAUCUCCUCUAUUACAUCUAAGUCAGAUAGUCAAUGCAAGCCCCCAAUCUUCUCCAGUCGAUGCUUGCAGUUUGGCAAUUGGCAUCUCAUCCAUAGUCCUUCUCUUCACCCCCAGCCAAGCCAGGGUGGUUCCCAGAUUUUUGUUCUUGCCAGAUUUAUCAGCUAACCUUUCUUUCCGGGCACAGCAGUCUCCAAGUGUCGAGCAGUCGCACCAAUUUGUGCCAUAGAACCUGCAAACCAGACAACAUUGUGUUUCCAAACAACAUACAAAUCCUGUAUUUCCAUAACACAGCAGUAGAUAGCAUACUGGUGCACAGAUUUCUCUUAUUAUCAAUUCAGAAGCUGGACAAAUCAUCACGGAAAGCUGCUAAAUAAACACUCAAGAACAAAAUGAUUAAUCCAUUAAUUGAUUCAGUUCCACUGCAGAACAGACAAGUUUUAUCAGGAAUUUGUUGUCUUUUAGCUAGAUAAUCACUAAUGAGGAGUCUAUUGUCAUUUAGUAACCACAGAAAACUAGUACCCUAGGGGGCACACAAAGCUUCCACACCGCAGGAACCACAAGCUGAAUAAUACCACGAAAGUUAACGAGCACAUAUAAAGACUGCACAUUACAUAUCCCAGAAUUAGGCCACUUCCAAGAAACAGUGUACUCCUAUUCACUAUACUGAAGCACAGAGACAAUCUGAUGUAAAGCCCCCUACUGAAGCAGCAAGUCAUUAUCAAAAUUGCGUCUAAAGGUUAGUUUGAGUCCAGAACCAUCCCAAAUCUCCCGCAGGGUUUUAUGCUGUUGCUUGCAAAUAACAUACUCCAUCCGUCCCAAAUAAGUGACGUGGAAUUGUAUAGAUUCUUAUACAAAUCCACGUCACUUAUUUUGGGACGGAGGGAGUAUAUCCCAAAAGCAUGCUGAUAGGUAUGCCAAGUCCAAUGAUCCUACCAAAACUUAACAGGGUGCCCACUCCCCACUUGACGAUGUCAUAGGGCUCGGUAUGGCCAAACAUGCCUAAUUCGGCCAACAACCAGAUGGGUAAGCAAAUCCUCUUGAAGGAGUCUGAUCUCAACCUGAGGGUCCCACAUCGACAUGGAGUAGAAGUCAAGGAAGCUCUUAGAUAUUUUACGCGCACUCUAGUCCUUUGCAUAAGGAAUCUUUCCUUGUAACCGACUUUAGACCUGUAACCCUAACCCGACCGCACUAUGUAAGUCGGGUGAGGGAAAAACCUCAAACAAGACACAACAAGCCACACCUUUGUACACAGAUCAAAAGCGACCCACUCGAGUACCUUGAGGCAAGACCAAUACAAUCACCAAAUAUAGGAGUAGGUUACUACCUCGAUCCCAAGGGCCCGAACCUGUCGAAAUCUCUGUCUCUUGUGAUACCAUCGUAUAUUCACUGCAGUACACUACCAGGAAACAAAUAUUGCCUGUACCAAACACUGACACCACUUGCCAGACAUAACCCAUCUUAGUAGCCUUACAGGCCCACAUCACACCCUUCUAAAGUCAGAAAUAUUAAAAUCGAAGCAAGCAAGCACAUUUGGAUUUCUAGUAUCGUAUUUAAAAUCAAUCAGUUGUUCCCACAGUUUAUUGUUAUCAUGAUGAUACCUUUUUAUCCAGGAGGCAAGCAAGGAUAGGUUCAGAUCUCUCAAGUUAGGGAUCCCUAAACCCCCAAUCUCUUUUUUCUGACUUACCAAAUCCCAAUUGGCCAGAUGAAUUUCCUGUGCCCCUCGUAGUUCUCCCACAAGCAGUGAGCCAUAUGUGCAUUAAUAGCAGAAAUAGCCCACUAGGGAACUUGAUAACAUAGAGCAAAUAAGCAGGUAUACUAGAUAGGCAGGACUUGAUUAAGAUUAAUCUCCCACCAAUUUAGAGUUGAUGAAACCUUUUGGACGGCAUGAUUGGAAAGACAUCCAUGACUAGUGUGCACGCAUGGGAUAUUAUUUCUAUAUAGCAUAACUAUAUCUCCAUUAGUUGAUAUUCCUAGUUUCCUUUGUAUAAAACAGCUCCCAAAUGGACCAGUAUUCCAUGUAAAAUAAAUCAAAAGGAAACACAUGGUUGAGCAAUAUAAAGUCACAAUUACUUGAAGCAACACAAACAAAAACAUGAUAAAUAAUCGUAGACAUAGUAAAUGAAACUAUUGCUUAUUAUUUCUAGUUCUAACAAUGGACUUGAGGGUUAAAUAUGUCUGUGCACCUGAGAGCAGUUACAUGACUCCCUCAAAGAAGGGUUCAGUUGAUACUUUUGAUCGGCUCAAGAAGUGAAAUAUUGAGUUCCUAAUAUUCAAUACACCACCUAAAUAGUAGACAUUGUGUAGUCUGUCAUGAGUGCAAUAUUGAGAAAAUCUUUCUGCGCACUCCUUGAAAAUUGAGAAGAUUGCACAUGUACUACAGUUUGCAAUCCAGUGUUAUUGGUCUCUCUCUCCCUCCCUCCCUCUCUCUCAGCAUCGGUAGAGACCUUUUAAGAUUCGGGUAUAAGUGGUUGAUGUGUAAAUAUUUGCUCCAUAUCAUCAAAAGGUCCCUACAGAUGCUGGCACAGAGAGAGUGAGAGAGAUACCAAUAACUUUGGAGUACCAACCACAGUGCAUGUGCAAUCUUCUUUUUUCUCAAUUUUGAAGAAGUGCAUAGAAAGAUUUUGCUCAAGAAUACUCUUGUGACACACCACACAAUAUCUACAAUUUAGGCGGUCUACUGAAUAAUAGGAAUUCAAUGUUUCACUCACUUCUUCAGCAGAUCAAUUAUCCACCGAACUGAACUCUUCUAUGAGGCUAAUGAUAUCAAGGGUCAAGUGCCUGCUCUCAACUGCACAUGACAUAUUUAACUCUCAUGUCCAUUGUUAGAACUAGAAAUAAUAAGCAAUAGUUCCAUUUAGUAUGUCUAUACAAUUAUUUAUCAUGUUUUUGUUUGGGUUGCUUCAAGUAACUGUGACUUUAACUUUAUGUUGCUCAACCAUUUGUUACCUUUAUCUUUUGAUGUAUUUUACGUGUAGGACUAAUCGAUUUGGAGCCAUUUUAUACAAAAGAAACUAAGAACAUCAACUAAUUGAGAGAUAGUUAUGCUAUGUACAGAAAUCAUGCCUCAUGCCCGCACACUAGUCAUGGAUGUCUUCGCCAAUCAUGUCGUCGAGAAGGUUUCUUCUCCAUCUCUAUAGGCUUUCGUAAUUUAAAUUUUUGAGGAUGUCGGUCUAGUUGAUAAUAAUCUCUCAAACUUACCUUAUACUUUCUUCCUUAGCUUCUCAAUCCUGGACCACUAAUUAAUAGAAGGAAACUCGUCAACGAUCUAAUUGGGCAUGUGUUAGGCCAAAGCUUUCAUCUGUUUGGCAAUCGAGUGAUCCAGAAUGUAUAGGUUGCAAAAAAGAAUUAGUUAUUUUGCACAACUUAGUUUAGUUUGAUCAUUUUGCUUCCAACUAAAGUUUCUAACAUAUUAUACCUCGACAAACUUGAUCGCCAAUUAGUUAUGUCGCUAUUUAUUUGCUGUCUCGUUUUCAGGCUUUUUAGACAAGUAACAACCAUCUGCAAAAAAAGAGAUGGCCAGCUUCGUAGCAACAUGUUGAAAUGUGUUUUUGAUCAACAUGCAAACCAUGCCGUUCUAAAAUGCAGUGUGUGACACUCCAAUACAUCGAGUUCAUCUACAAAAGCAUAUAUGGGAAGGUCAAGAAGUUGUCGUCCCAUCCUUGCGUAUGUUACUUAUAUUAAUUUUGACAUGUUAUUCGUUGCAUACUCAUUGUAGUGCGGCGGUGGAUCAACAAUGGUAACACUUAAGACAGGAAGUUCGACAGGUCCAAGCCCUCACAAUCGAGGUAAUACCCACUCCUGUGUAUGGUGGUUGUAUUGAUCUUGCAUCAGAGUGCUCGAGCGAGACGAGAGAGCUGAUCUCUCGAGGUCACAUUGAUCUGUGUGUGUCGAGGUGAGAAGUUGUUCCUCCUCCUGGGGCUUUUCCCUUACCCACCUUAAAUAGUACGGUUGGUUUGGGGUUACAGGUCCCCGGUGGGUUUCAAAAUAAGAUUCCCUAUACAAAAAGACUAUUGUGCCCCUAAAAUAUCAAGGAGAGCUAAUCCAAGCUGAUGUGGAACCCUCGGGUGGAGUUCGGACUUCGGACACCUUCCAGAGUGUUAGCCUAUCCUCUGUUUGUUGGCACGAGUUGGUCCUGCUUGGCCCUACCCAAGUCCUAUAACAUCGUCGAUCAUGCAGGGCCUGAUGGUAUAUACAUAUGCCUACCACAUGGUGCAUGUAAAAUUUAGUCUGAGAAAAAUAGUUGCAUGUAAAUAUUUAGCCCGAGAAAAAUAUGGAUUUAUGUAUAGUAUGUAAGAAGCAUGUAUUGUUAUAUUGUACAUAAACACAUGUUCUUGGUUCUAGUACACAAAUGCACAUUCAUAGUAUACAACUAAAAGUGAACCUAGCUAAUUUUUCCUUGGUCACUAACGAAGCAACUAUAUCAAGAACUUAAAAACUACAUGCGGAAAUCUAUAUGUCAAGUUCAUGUGGAAUUGAAAUAAGUUCUAGGGAAAAUGGUGGGGUGUGGUUGAUUCCCAUCCACAUGGGUUUAAUCCCUUCCACUUAAGGUCUUCUUUGGAUUUAGUAGGAAAUGGUGAGGAAUUCCAAAUUUAAACAUUAAGUGACCUAUGAAUUUUGGAAAACUCUCUACAAAAUUCAGAAGAAAAAAACAUUUAUAUCAUGUAAAUAGGACCAAGAAAAAAAUGCACAGUUUAGUUUCACGAAGAACAUAGGGGACCAAUAAAAAUAUCAGCCAAACAAGCUGCACUGUGUUGUCUACUUUAGUAGCUCAUACGAUGCAAUUAUAUGAUUAUAAUAAUAUCAUUCCACACACAUAAUGUUUCAAGACUAAUUAAAAAUUACCAGAAUUUCAUGUGCCACAAGUGAAACAAGAGCAUAAGAUAAUUGAGAACAAUCCGCCAAGUAGGAUUUGGAAAGAUUUUCUUCAAUAUGGAUGAUGGAGUUUUUGCCUGCAAAAAAGAAAGGCACAAACAACAAGAAUUCAGUUUUGACAUGUCGUAGGCCAGAGCACAAAAUAUUCUGUACACUACUGGAUAUAGAAUGAAGUAAAACGACAUAACCAAAUUAUUACCUCAACAACCUGCACACAAAAGGUGGGUACCUGUAGAAUGAUUUCUCUGUCCAAACAAAAUGUAGCUCCUGAUAACAUAAGUCAAAAAACCACUAUAACCUAGCAACAAAAAGAAAUAAAAAUUGAUCCACCUAAUGCAGUAGACCUCGACAAUAUUGUACUGAUCCCCUUCUCUUGAUAUAACUCGACGUAAAGGGGUCAUAACUCAUAAGGGCCUUAAUGAAAAGGACUACAAAUUUGAAAUCUUAGAUCACACAUAAAAGACAACUCAAAAGUACCAAGCAAUCCACCACUAGCAAGUUCACUCAUAUUUGAAUGUCAGAAAUUAGCUCAAUUUAACCAGAAAAUUUGGCUAGUUCGUUGGCUGAUAUCUCGAGAAGUCAUCCAGGAACUUAAUGGCUAGCACCAUGGAAUGGAUGAUGGGCUAGCUAGCCAGCCUGGGUUCAAACCUCACCUCUACCCGCUAAAAUUGAUGUCUAGUUCCUAAUGACAUCUUGCACUUCAACGAGCAAAAUGGUAGGUUGGGACUGUCAUUUCCUCCAAAUAAAGGAACUACAGUAGCAGUACUGAGCACAACAAGGUGUAGAUAACAAAACUACCAGAUAAUGGAACAGGUUGAAAUAGAAAUUAGUGUCGCAUCCCCCUCCUGCCUACCAGCCCCCGCGUGUCGCUUGUCUGGAAACUAGGACAAUGCCACGACCUCCACCCACCACCUCCUCCUCCUCUUGCAUGACUGUUGCUAUAAAAUCUCCACUCGCUAUGCAGUCGCGCGGCUAGGAAAUCUGCCAUGACAACUCCAGCGCGAUCCUGGAGGAGAAUCUGGACAGUGGAAGCAGAGGACUCCAACGUAGUAUUUGGGAUUUGGGAUUUGGGAAGGCGAUAGGAGAGGCAAGGUUCUCUUCAGGGAAUGCCAUUUGGCUAGCUUAAUUCAUCAUCAAAUGUAGUUACAUCGUUUAUAAAAAACAGCAAAUAAAACUGGAGGAUCAUUGUCCCAGAUACAAAAAACUCUAGACUGAUAGCACCUCCUCGCGAUCUUAUGCGCCACUGGAUUAGCUUCCCUUGGACAUUUGGCAAGGUAGUAGUCAGUGAAUGGCAUCUUGGGAUCUCUGUCCCAGAGCCCAAGUUAUUUAACAGGACAUAACAGGCCGAAGUAGAGGCCAGGUUUCAGCUGGACUUAAAUGGGCCAAGCCUACUCCAGUGUAGCCUGCUUGCCCUCUAUAACACCCCACCCACACCGCCCUCACUCGGUCCCCACACCCUGUCUCCUCUUUCCCAACCGCAGUUGCUACUCAAAUUACAGCUACCAAACACAGGGAUCAAUUAACAGCACAUCUCUAACUUCAACAUCUUUGACACCAUAACUCCUGAAAGGACACCGGUGUUCGACAAACCAUAAGAAAUAACUAACAGAGCAUUUGCUUCUAUUACAUUUUAGCUGAGGACUUCCCAAAAAACCUUUGGGUGCGAUAAAAAGAAAUCGAGUACCUUCAUUAUGUUCCCUUAAUAAUAAUAAAAAUUGUCAAUUUUAAUCAGACUAUAUCCAGUGGGACUUAACUACACAUUAUGACAAAACAUAAAUUAGCUACACUUACAAAGCAGGUUUCAGGGAACAAGUCAAGGCCUGCAGCUCAUUGUCCCCAUAUGUCAUAAGGCCUAAGGGUCUAAGGGAGCAGGCAAGCAGCCUAUGAUUAGACUGAUAAAUUCGCACACAAAAAACUGAAAAAGGAAAAUUUCACCAGGAACAUUGCCAUAUUCCCAUCGAUCACGGUCGACUGAAUUUAUACCUGGACGGUUCACUGUGUGUAAGUGCAAUCCAGGCGCAGCUUGACCUGCCCCUUAUUCCUCUCACGAGCCCACCUAGCUUGUCGUCCUCCUCCUAUCAUCUUCCACCUCCUCAGGCAGCUUAUAGCGCAUCUAGCAAAAUUGAUGAUUACCUCUAUUACGUGUUGGGCACUUACUAAAUUAGAUAUGUAAGAACGUAGCUGUACUAACACAAAUUACAAGAUCAGAAUUAUUUCUGGAGAUCCAUUACAAAAUAAGGUUUGCUUUAUGGCAGUAUAAAAAAUAGGAACUAACACGCAUGUACAAUCUUACGGGCAUGCAUCAAACCAUGGUAGUAUAAAAAUAGGAAUGAACACGUCAUGUAAAAUCUUGCAGGCAUGCAUCAAAGUAGCCAUGGUAGUAUAAGGUUUGCUAGUUUAUACAAUAUACAUACCCCUAUACAAAGUAGCCAAGAUCAGGAGUAUCUAAUAGCAGUAUAAAAAGCUCAAAGUAAACGAUAGUUGCCACACAAUCGGCUACCCCACCGGUCAUUCCUCCCACUCCAUACCUGCGGCCUGGGCAUAGCUCCCCCCUCUAACCCUAGACACCCUAUAUCCACUACCAUAUGGAACGGAGGGAGUACAUACUAUACUAGACUCUCUACGAUUUUAGACUCUCUACCGUACUCUACUCCUUGCAUAACGUGCAAACACAUACUCCUUAGGUCCAUAAACUAGUAUGGAUCCUUGGAGCUCAGCGGUAAUUCCAGUUGCCCUCCUCUUACCAGACUAGCCGGCCGCCGGCCCGCGCUUCCCCUCCCUUCCGGCGCCAUAAACACCGCCGCAUACGCGCAUGACCUCAACCCCCUCCUCCUCCUCUCCGGUCGCCGACGAUUCUCGCGGCCGAUCCCAUCUCGCCAAGAAACGGCGUCCGCGAACGAACUGACUAUCCUCGGAUCAGGGAUGGCGGUGGAGAGAAACCCUCCUGGAAGGAGAAGAGACGGCGGAUGGGGAGCAUCAUGAGGAUUCCUGGUGCCGGAGGGCGGAGGCGUGGCUCUGAUCCGGGGUGACGGGGAGAGCUAGCGAGACGAGGAAGAAGCGGUAUGAUGGUAGCGGCAGGCGUUUUAUUGCUUUCUUCUCGUAUUGGGCCACAUAAGGCCCAUGAAGUAGACUGAAUAAAGGCCUCGUUGAGCUCGUGGAAAUCUGAAGCCCUCGUUAGAGUAUAGAAUUACAAAGCAAUGCCCCUGAUAAUUUGCAAGGGCAGGCCUGAGGGAGGAGUCGGACGCAAAGUUCGGAGAGUUCUAGGGGUUAAACUGCAAAGACAACAUUGAGCAGCGAAGCCGAAGCACACCACCGCGAAACCCUCCCCCGACGCUGCCGGCUGCCCCCGCAAUGGAUCCCAAGGCGGCGGCGAGGUCGAAGCGCUCGCACACGGUGCACGGCCGCCGCACCCACCAGACCCCCGCCGCGGCCGCAGCGCAAAAGCAGAAGCGCGCAGCCGCCGCCGCCGGCAGCGGCUCCUCCUCCUCAUCCGCCCCUCGCAGCCGCAACCUCCCCUCUAACUGGGACCGCUACGAGGACGAACCCGAGGCAGACGACCCCGCGGCCGCCGCGGAAUGGACCGGCGAGGUGGCGCCGCGCAGCAAGGGCGCCGACUUCGCCUUCCUCCUCGAGCAGGCGCGGACGCAGCCCCGCGAGGAGCGUGGCCUCGGCGUGUCGGGCCAGCUCGCCUCCCAGAACUCGCCAUUUGGUAAGUGUGCGCCGCGAGAUUUCACAGUCACUCACUUCUAGUCUCAGCGUGUGUUUUUCAACCAUCUCUGCUCAUGGACUAAGCAGUCUAAGCUCAUUCAGUUGUUCGCUUCAACCAUGGUUAGGUCAACUAGGUGAUCCUUGCGAUCCUUCCUCUAACGAUGGCUAAAUUUCGCACUGUGAAUAAUAUUAAACUAAGGAAUGUUUUAUUCCGAAUCAUCUUAAGGCCAAUGCCACUUAGAAUCACCUAUAUCAAGCAUCCUAAUGUAUCCUCUGCAUUUCAGUAGUAUACUAUGUUCUCAACUUCCUGUUAGCAUUUGAAGGAGCGGAUAUCCUGUAGAUGGAUCUGAUCCAGUGUAGAAAAUUCACACCGCGAUGAAUUACCAUGUCAUUAGUUCGCUACUCAGUACUCACCCUUUGCUUCAUAUUCAGCAGAUUGAAAAUUACAGCAUGAGUUUGCUCGGAAGUGAGCUUAGUUUUUGUGAGAUUGAUUUGUUCUAGUGGUGCUAAGAUUGUUGAUUGGCUGCUUCUCUAGAUUUUAUGCAGGCAUCUACCUCUAUGCUUGAAGCUAAAGGGGAUGGGAUUAUGUCCUGGAUUGAAGACGAUAAUUUCAUAUUAGAGGAUGAUUUAGCACCAGAUUUUGAGGUACAAAUCUGCUACUAUGCUAUAUCAUUCUUGUUCAAAUGCAGUACUAUGCUACGCUCUUCACACUGCUUUAGGGCUUGCUUGGGUAGGUGCUAAAUCAUAGAUAUGUGUAAUUUACUGGAAGCAUAUAUUUUGUUCAAAAAUGAAUGGCAUUAUAGCGGGAAUUUCCCUCGGUCCCUUGGCUGAGUGCCCCUUUGAAGUUUGUGCCUUUGGGGUACACUAUUAAACAAAAAAUGGUAUGAGGAAUAUAGAGGUUUGUUUAGAUUACUAGAUCCUUUUAGUUUUCAAUUUACCGUCCAUAUAUAAACUCUUGAAGCACUGUUGUUUAGGGUUUUGUGGCUUCUUGCCUACAAUGCCAUCAGAUUUUUACAUAUUCAUCAUGCUGGUGUACAUAUUCUCCUCAACUUUCAGGUACCUUUUCUCUCCAUGGAUCUGGAUGCAUUGGCCACCCAACUUUUGAAGCUUAAGCUCUCUCAGAGACUUUUCAUAGAAGAAGAUCUACUACCUGAGGAUCUGGUGAGCUCUUGUUUAUGGUUAUUGUUUCCAGUUUUGUAAUUUUAUAAACGUUGAAUGUAUUGCCUUCUUUUUAGUAAAAACAGAAGUGGGGUUUUAGUUGCAUUAGGAAUGUUGACAGUUAGAACAAUUCAUGACUCGGGAGAGCAUUUAUUAUUAUGAGGUGCUAACGGAUUUACGUGGUCUUGAGAGUUUGGAGAGCUCCAGCUUAUGUCAAAUACAAAUGGGUGCUGAAGUCUAAUUAUGCGAUCUAAGUCCAUAUUCCCUGACAUGCACAACCAUGAACAUAUUCAUUUCAUCAUUUGGUAUGCAAACCUAAUGUAUCGUUGCUGCAAUCUAAAUAUCAAACUCUGCUUUCUCAAAUCAUGACUAGUAGUUGCCACCUCCUAGCUACUGCUGACAAGUGUCUGCCUUGUUCUGCAACCAUUUUUCCCAACCAUCACUCAUUCUGCAACAAGGCCAGGGUGCUUUGGUAUCUGACCUUUUGACAAUUCUGGCCACUGCUUGCGGGUACAUUCAGGAUCAUGGGAAUUGCCUGCACUACAUGGUCUGUCGUCAGUUGAAGCAAUAAAGUUUAUAUAAGCUUUCAGAGUUAUCUGGUUGGUGUUUUCCACCCUUGGUGCUAUGCGGGUUUAUUUAUUUGUUGGAGCACAGUUGCCAUCCUUACAUUAUUAGAUGGGUUGAUGAAUUUGAGUGGAGAUUUGAUCCCUAUUUCAUUGACCCAUUGCACUCGGACGGUCAACCAGCCUGUCCAUGAUUGUGUUGUGCAUGGUUCAUACUUCAUACAAUUCUGAGGUGGGUAAAGUUAAAGCUGAUAUUAUCCUGUUGGCAUUGAUAAAGCUGCCCUUUCUACAAGGUUCUAAUUGCAGGAGUCAUGUGUGCCUAAUUUAUAAAUAUUGAGUUACUGAAAUUAAGAUCUGUUUUGUUAAACAUGUCUGUAUGCUCGAGCCUUUUGAAACCCAUCCUUCUUGACAUGAUAUCCCAAGGAUCAUCUGAUUUAUUCAUCUUAUUAUUCCUAGGCUGUUGCAUCAGAAGAUAAUGAAAUAGUGAUUCAAUGUGACACAUUGUUGGAUUGUGGUGCUAAAGAAAGUUUGGUUCAAAGUAACUUCAAGGAUGUAAAGCCUGGGAAAGAUCCAAUUAGUCAUGACCAUGCCAGCAGCAUCCUUUCUGAUGAUCAAAUGAAAACAGAUCAUCAACUUGUGCAUUCAGACACUGAAGAAGAUAAAAACUAUACGAGAAUCACAGAUACCGUUACAAGCUCAGGUCAUGGCAAACAGUCAAAGCUUGAGCUGGUUGGUCCUGAAGAAGAACUUGACAUGCUUCUUAAUUCCCUUGGAGGAACUCACCUUUCUAGCUCCAACCUAGGUAAGUCGUUUGGAAAUAGUUCAACUUUAGAAGGAACGAAGGUCAGUGAGUCAAAUGAGAAAUUCAAAGCUAGUAGCUCGUCCAAAUCGCUGGCACUUGCUCCUCUUGAUGACGCCCUAGAUGCCUUACUUUCGGAGACUUCUUUACCUGUUGAGAUUGAAGGUUUUGCUGCCUCAAGUGUAACUUCUCGAUCAACUAUCGACUCAGACAACAACACUGACUUUAGAUGUGCCAAGCAGAUUGAUGUAACAACAUCUAUUGAUGAUUCAGUCGAUGAUUUGCUUGCGGACAUUUCGUUCUUCUUAAAUGAUCAGAAACAAACUACACUUGUACAAGGGCAACAGAACAUCUCAAAUGUCAGUGUGCCUCCUCAUUCUGGUUCCUCAAAUGUAUCAGCUGAUUUUGAUUCAUGGUUUGAUUCACUAUAGAAACGGAAGAAACAAAUUUAUAGUGAAGAGGUGUGAGUUGGCUUUCACUGAUCUGUUACUGUAACACUAAUGCCUACAGUAGUUUUGUUCACUUCAUGAAUCUAUGUAGCUAGCCCUUUGGAAAGCUGUCUUUCGAAGCUCCCAUGCCCAUUGUUAUGGAGGUCUGGAUAAAAAUCUUAGUAUGGCUCAGAUUAUGGCAAGCCUGCUUCGCAGCCCUUCGCAUCACUUUUCGGCUUGUGCCAGUUUGGGGCUAUGCCUAUGUUAGUAUAUUGAACUGUUGUCAUACUGACCAGGAAUCCAGAAGGCUGGUUGCUGUGUAAUCUCAUAAUGCCAAUCUGUACAUUCAUGAACUGAGUUUAGUCACAUCUUUGUAGUAUCUUCCAUACUUCCAUCCUUAAUUUAUUGUUCUUGUCAAAACAAAGCUAAUGCAAAGAUUUGAGUCUUCCUGUUUUGUCUCUGUGUACCUUUUUGCUGCAUCCCUACUUUACUGACUAUUAUGUUGGUUCUGCGGGAAACACGGUAUCACUGCACGAAGUUUGUUCAGUCUGAUCACCAUUGUAUCUUUCAUGCUCCACGCAAACCCUCUUGGGCUCGAAGGCAAGUAGAUUCAAAUCACUCAACUACAAAGCCUGGGCCAUUAAUAGUUGUGACUUCUGGACGUUAUUGCCGAUUCAGUUAUUUUUCCCUAUAUGGUUUGGUAAAGAUCAAACAUAUUUAGUCACCUCAAUGACCAAGAGCACUGUAAUUCAGUCUACUCACAGAAUGAAAAGUGCCAGAUCAUCGUGUGGCAAAGGUAUGACAUCUGAACCUCAUCAUUUCCCUUUGCCUUGGCGAAAUUGCUGGUCCAAACAAGACCUUUUCUGGAAGCUUGCUCCUGAGAUUAUCGUCUGAUCUGGAAAGACCAGUACACUUAUCCUUACGAAGGUACUAUCCUUCUUUUGUUAUUAUUUUCUGUGUGCCCCCAGUUGCGUGCCAUCAUCAUCACUCAUUUGUUUUUUCCCUCUUGUCCAGGGUUUUCCGUUCUGAGCAUAUCUUUGAUUCUCGACGCUGUGCCCAUGUCGAAUAUCCAGAUAUUAUCAUGGAGUUUAUACACGAUUUGGCCCUUGCAUCACUCCAGGGGCCAUCUAAUCUGCAGCCGAACUACCGGUUGCUGUCAUGGGCCAACUGCAUGACAGGAGCACCUCUUGCCCAUCCCAUGAUUUCAUCUCCCGUGUUUGGAUAAGAUGCUUCAAGCCUUGAACUCAACAUUGCAGGUCAGUUCACCACGUAUUACAAUGGAGAACACUGCACAUAUAGUGUUCCGUUUUAUUUGAUAGUCCUUCCUCAGAAUCCGUGUCCCACAGUUACGGCUGAUAAAUAAGCUCACGAAGACCUUCUACCGUAGAUCAAAUGUUCGAAACAUAUAUUUAAGCUAAGUUUGGUAUUAAGUCAGAUUAUCAUAAUCCCGUUUAUUCUAUCGUCCGUUUUUGUCUAUUUUGUUGUCUGACUAACCAAUUUUUUCUUUCCUUGGUAUGUAUUUUCUCACACCAGACUACAUAAUAAGUUAGCCAGCACAAUUCAGCAACCGCAGACAACUUAAUUUUACUACUCCUUCCUAUCCAUAAAAGGUGUCGCCCAUUUUAUAUUAAGUUAAUACAAAUUUUGUAUUUUUUAUGUAUCGGAGUGAGUGCUAGAUUAUAGCCAAAGUCUAGAUUUAUUAACCAAAGUCAUUUGGCUUUUCCGGGCAAUCUUUGCUGCACAAGGACCAAGUCUUAAUUAAUCGCAGGGUGUAGCCAAACUCUCCUUCCACUAAUUAAGAUGGGCUGGACUGCAUGUACCAAAUGUGACGUGUUUUGAUGAGCACAUGUCCAAGUGCAUGACAUCAACUCAGGAGUCGUGGCAAGCCAUUACUGGUGCUAGUACAAGUAUUUGUCAUCCAACCACUAGCUACUUUGUCAAACACGUUGAUGUCAGGAUGUGAUCUUCCCAGAUCUUCUAUCCUACGUCGUACGUACAACCUUGGCCUUCGUCGCGCCACGUAGGCAAGAACAAAGUACGUUGGAGUUGUCACCUGGUUACAUCUGCUCUGUUUAAUUUAAUAAAGCGUCCCGUUGACGGUUUAGACGCGCCAUUAGCCUGACGUCAGUUAAUUUUCUGUCUUGGUUGGUUGUCGGCAACAUGAAUCUGAACUCUGUAAUCUACGCAUUUGGAACAGUGACGUCUUAGCUAACAAUCAGAAGCAACUUACCUGGAAGUAUAACCAUGCGUGUGUUUUGAUUAGUCUUCUGCAAAUUCUUUGACUUUUUCAUCAGCUUAUUUUUUUUUACCGCGUCCUUUUCUUUCCCACCUACUGUGAGUUUCACCUCGCCACGUGCUUCUCGAGUUUAUCGUGUGCCUAGUGCCUACUCACAGUCACUCUGGUGAAUGAGCUCAUCUGAAUAUAUCUCUGCGAAUUGUGCUUGAGCGUGACGUGUUACCUUUAAUUACCAGCUCAUGUAGUAACCAUGCAUGCUGAACAGCUCGAUCAAGGGCAUUUUUCUUUGAUUACACAUCAUGUCAUUUUCCCAUUAGGAGAAAAGUCGAUUCCCCAUGAUCGAUCGGCCGGAGCAUCAAUACAUCAGCACGGCAUCAGCUCUGCAGUAGUAGUUUUUCAACCCGUUCAAGCUGAGAAAUUAAAAUUUGCAUGGAAGCACAUAUUAUACGAGUUAGAUUUAAUUUCCUUCUUUUUUAAGACAGGGCGAUCGACCUUAUCCUGAGUUUGUUAGCAAGUACCAUUCCGGCCAGUCUACUCCAACGUAGGACACACAUAUAUAUACGUGCACGAUUUUCUUUGGUUGGUUGGAUAAUGCGUCCCAUUUCGUGUGGUUCAAUUUUGGCCAUGGCAACUCAUUUGCAUCCUAUGAUUUUCUUUUCCCUACGGGCCUACUUGCAACAGCAUGCCAACCCAUAACCCAUUGUCUCGUUCAUUCCCUCGAUCCCGUGCGUCGUCUGGCAUAUAUAGCGACCUAUAUUCUCACUUAUAGAACGUGCCGUUGGGUCGUGUCCUGUCAAAGUUGCAAGGUUCCUACUUGCAUGCCAUGCACAAAUAGGCCGACAUGGCGACGUGUGAAGCUACGCUUCCUAGCUAGCCCGUUCCGCGUGAUCUUGAAUCGUGCAUGUGGUUGUCUUCUUCCCCAUGUUUGCUUUGCUGCUUAAUUUAUCUUUAACAAUUUAGGCGCACCAUAUACAGAUCAUCAUUUAGGAGUAAUGAUUGGAUCGUAGGUGGUUCAAUUCGACCGGGGCUCCGAUCUUUCGGAGUAGAAGAAUUAAGUUAAGUCGUCAGUUCAAAAUGAAAAGUAAGUCCAUGCAUGGCUAAGGCUAAGGGGUUUAGAGUCAGAUUUAGGGGUAUUUUGGAACGCAUUGCUUGUGUUCGAUUUGCCACAGUACACGCAGGCAGUACGUAUUAACAUCGUCCUGAUUGAUCAGAGUUCCUUGACUUAAUUAUUCGUGCCAAUAAAGAUCGAAUAACCAGAGUGGUAAUCGGCUCCCGGCAGCGCCACGUAUGUGAGGCCGGUGAUGCGAUCGAACGUCCUUGUCGUUGCAGUCAAAUAAAACCCCACAUCAUGCGUGUGAUUUGCAGCGUCAGCUCGAUUAAACAUUAAUUAGACCGCGGACGAAAUUAAAAUUAAGAUCAGGCGCAACAAACAACCGGACGUGGACUGGCUUCAAACCGAGCCAUUUUAUGCCGGGAGAACUUGUGCGAGCCGGUGACAUGGUUAAAACGUACUGUAUGUUCACAAAAAGGGAAACUUGGAAAUGGAGCAGAUUCACAAUAUAUACUGCAAAAUGAAAUUAAGAAGAAGAAGCUAUGUACAAGUCUCUUUCAUUCAUUCACUCUUGGUUGUAUUCACAAGGGACAUAUAUGGUCGAAAACAAGCAGAAGUACAGAAUAAUUAGGAUAUACUACUCCGUAAGCAUAAACACAACAUCGUCUAAUAAUAACUAAUUUUUCUCUCCCCUAAAAGAAUUUAAGCCUAUUUAUCUAUCUUAGCUACGCUAAUCCUACUAGCAGCAGAGCAGCAGCAAUUAAACUCACAUGCAUGAUCGAUCUCAGGAACAAGAGGGAGAGAAAAAGAAAGAUAGAAGAAGAGAGUGAAAAGAAGAAAAAUAGCUAGGAGAAACCGAGAAAAUAUGAACUCUCUAAUCAAACCGUUGUAAUACUACUCCAUCGUCAUCCCAUAAGCAUCUUUCUCAUAAUUCUCCUUGUUUGUUCAGAGCCAGAGCGCGCCGGCGUCCUUGAGGAUGGGCACGAGCUCGCCGGAGAUGUGCACGGCCAUGAGCCGGUCGAGCCCGCCGAGGAGCCUCCCGCCGACGAACACCGCCGGCAGCGCGCCGCCAGCCCCGGCAAGGGCGGCGCCGUCGCCGUCGACCUCCCGCACCGCCGGGUUGACCCCGAGCCCCUGCAGCAGCCGCUUCACCACGUGGCUCAGGCAGCACCCCCGCCGCCCCACCACCAGCACCGGGCUCUCCGCCACCGCCCUCCUCACCGCCUCCUCCUCUUCCUCCUCCCCGGCCGCCCUCGCCGCCGCCGAGUGAUCAUCCGCCGCUGCCUCGGAGGAAGACGCCAUUGGCGCCGCCGGCUGGCGCGGCCAGCUUGGGAGGCGGCCGGCGCUGUAGGGGAUCGCCUGGUACAUCUCGAAGAAUUUGUAACCCGACGACGCCUAGCUUAGCUUAAUCAGCUCGAUCGCUAGCUGCUAUACGGAUGAAUUUCCUUCUUCCGCGGGUCGAUGCGUGCGGCUGUUACUUUGUUUGUCCGUGGGGGAAGACGAGAAAGGGCAGGGGAUAUAUAAAGGGGCGGUGAUGUCAUCUGGGGAUGGGGAUGGCGUCAUCAUAGCAGGGCUCUGGAGGGGGCGGGGCGUGACGUGGCUGCGCGUCAGCCGCGGUUGGGGCGGGGCCCAAGUGGUGACGAGGGUUACGUGGCGGAUGACGAUGGAGCAAGAAUACGGUUGAGAAUACGAUUUUGAUUGAUUGGUUGAUUUCCCCGGGGGUGGGCCACCAGGCAGGGACGGGUGCGAGUGAAACACGAGAAUGGAGGUGUACGAACAGUGAUAUGUUCGCAUGUUUACAUGGUGCAACGACGUCGUCAUUGGGUACAACAAGUCAAUCCUCUUCAAUUUUUCUUUACCACACUUGUUUCGUAUAUACACCCUUAAUCAGAAUCCUGUAGUAUUUUUAUUUUUAUUUUAAAAAGUGGCCGGGGAACGGACUCUUCCGCCUCUUAAAUAAUAUUGUCAUGCAACAAAAACAUGACAUCCAAUAAAAAAAGGUACUCCUUCCGUUUCUAAAAUUUUGGUCGUGGUGUUUAGUUCAAUUUUGUACUGAAACCACGAUAAGAAUUUAGAAACGGAACGAGUAUUACAAGCCUCAAUAGACUCAAAAAAAAUGAUACCUUUGCCUACUGAAUAAAUCGUGAUAAAUCCUUACAGUACGAUUUUUGGUUGGCCGAAAUGAUUUUCGAAACAAAUUAGUACCCCGGUAUACAGAUUAGUGAUAGAGAGGGCCAGGUGACGAUGUACACGCAAAAGGUCCGGAAACAUGCGCGCACGUCAAACUCUGGAGUCAGAACGAUAUUGAAAGCCGGUGUAGGUGUUCGAAAGAUGCAGUCUAGUUCGCUCGCUGUGUAGAUUUUUUUUUUUAAGGUGCAGCGCGACGGCACGACACGACCAGGUCGGUCGGUCACCUGCAAGAGCUUGCUUAGGGCUGCUGGCGGCUAGCUAGCCGGCCGGCCGGACGGUGACGUGUGCGCGCAUGCAUGACGACCGGGACAAGUCGUCGUGCGUGUAGUAUUACGUGUGUGCUGUACUAAAAUUGUCCCUUAUAGUGUCCAUCUCUGCACGUACGCGUACAACAGACACCGGCCGAGGCCGGGUCAAAAACAUACGGAUAUCCAUAUAUCGACCGAAAGAUAAAUUAACCCUAGCUACUACACAUAUGACGUGCGUGCGUGUGCAUAUGCAUGGCAUGCGUGACGACUUGUAGUACGUACGCGCGUAACGUCCUUCGUGCCGGCCGCUACGACGUCGACGGCGUCGUACGUGGCCGUUUCCUUCUGUACGUAUUAUACCGUUGUUAAUUAUUGAUACAGUAAUAUUCCCUCAGUGACAUCACUGGCAGCAGUAUUUAGGAUAAGUAUUUAGGAAUGGAGGGAGAGUGUAAUUAAUUGGUUGACCAGCUCAUAUAUAUAUAUAUAUGUAUGUAUGUAUGUAUAUAUAUGUAUGUAUGUAUGUAUGUAUGUAUAUAUAUAUAUAUAUAUGUAUAUAUAUAUGUACACACGUACGUUUGCAUGCAUGGUGCGGAGUAUAUUCAGACCAGGAGAAAGGCAUCGCAGGCAUAUCGAUCAGCAAGGUACCUAGCUAGCCAGAAAUUCUAAAUGACACGUGGACCGAAAGUCCGAUUCCAGGCGCCGGGGUGGUUGCAGGUGCGACGAUGCAUGCAUGAAUUACGGAGUACCUUCUAGAAGAAGAAAAAUACCCACAUAUGUUUGCACGUACUGAUCGAGUCAGCUUGGCAGCUCCCUCGAUCGUGAGUCGUGACGUGAAUGCACCUAAUUCACGUUCUUCUUUCUUUUCUUUUUUGAAAGACAUUUUCCUUUCUCCAAAACCGUUUGCUCUAUCGAUCAGGCCGGAUAGUACCUACUUCUUCCGGUUCAUAAAAAAUAUUAUUCAUUCAGUACAAAAUAACUACUAACUUUAUAUAAAAUGAACGAUAUUUUUUACGAAACGGGAGAGUACUUUGCUCGUUUGAAAAUCACUGAACCAUGCAAACGGCCGGCCGGGCAUGCAGGCACGUACGUAGGCGCCAUUCAGAGGUUGGGCACGGAAGUGUUUCCAACUUCCAAGUGGCUAUACUGCUAUACAGUGAUGUCACCCAGGCGUGUGCAUGCACGCAUGGGUGAUAGCUAGCUGGACAGCUAACUUCCACCCUCGCGGACGAUUCGGCAAGGAUUUGUCUCGCUCCGCAUCGAUCCUCUGACAGAUGUGAUGAGAGCGACAACACCUUACGUGAUGCACGGGGAUGAUCUGUCAUACGGAGUAUUGUAGAUAACGCAGAAUUAAAGCGAAAUACUCUCUCCAUCCAACAAAAAUUGUCUCAAGUUUGUCAAAAUUUGCAUGUAUCUAGACAUGAUUUAGUGUAUAGAUGCAUUCAAAUUUGGUCUAAGCUGAGGCAUAUUUUGUUGGACGGAGGGAGUAGAAGAAAAAAUUAGAAGGUCGAGAAGAGAUAUGGCAACGAGCUCAGUGAUAUAACUUGCCAGCUAUACUUUUGCCGUUUUGAGUUUGUGAUCGCUCCUGAUCGAUUGGACACUAGUACAAAACAUGCCAUUAGUGGCAGGCAAAAACUGCUAUCAGCGUCGUUCGCAGCACACGCCGCUAACUACUGGCCACUGAUGGGUUUCCCAUCAGUGUCGUGUGCAAAACCCGCCGUAGAUAGGUCAUCCCUCAGUGGUGGUCACAGGCACAUAGCAUCUUCGUCAAUUAAAAAUAAAAGCAGGCCACAUGCCUGCAUGGAUGAAUCAACGAAUCAAAAAAUCGAUGAAUUAAUCAAAAAAAUUGAUGAAUUAAUCAACGAAUCACAGACAACAAAUUACAAGACAAGCAUAUCACAAAUCGCUGCCUAGCCACACCGUACAGCCCGGAGGCUUUGUUGAAUCUCAAAUCAUAAACAAAAUACAAACUAAACUUGAUGAAUAUAUAUCCAGUCCAUUUAAGAUCUCCCUUCUCUUUUCCAAGUCAAGGACCUACACAGUUCAAAGAGAUUGAAGUAAUCAUAAGCAUACAAAUCACAAGAGAUUGAAAAUCACAAGCUUCACAAGAGAUUGAAAUAAUCAUAAAGGAUUGAAUAAGAGAUUGAAGUAACAACAGAAGAGAGGGAGGGACAUCGGGACCUGUCUUGGAAGAAAACGAGGCCUACCAUGUCCAACUUCAACAGCAGCAGUGGGAGCUGCCCUCCACCGUCGCUGUCAGCCAAGGUCGAGCGCACCGCCCAGCGCACGGAUCUGGUGGAAACAAGGGCGGAUCCGCCGAUUUGGUGGAGGGUGGCCAGAUCCAGCUGUUUUCGGCGACGGCGGGCCCCAAGGUGGCUCAUCAGUGGUGGGCUUUGGAACAAAACCCGCCACUGAUAGUAGGGUCACUGAUAGGGUGCUGCUAUCAGUGGUGGGUCUUUAAAAGGCCGCCACUGAUGGGUGGUUUUUUGAUUUUUUGGGCUUCACGUGUGAUCCAUUAGUGGCGGGUUUUAGAGAUCCGCCUUGUUUUGUACUAGUGGGGGCAUUUUAGCUCGGACUCCAUCGGUGAUGACAGGAGAAUCAGUGUACUCCUUCGAUCUUAAAUAGUUAUCAAAAUAUUACAUGUAUUUAGACUUUUUUAAAAAUAAAUAUACACAUAUUUAGAUAAAUUUGAGUUAAGAUUUAGGAUCAAUGUAGCCCCUCCGUUCUCGGUCCUCCAAGAAAGUAUCCGUAGAGUGAAUCGAUUGGUUCGGCGUAUCCGUGGAGUGAAUCGAGUACGUAUGUCGGCAGCUUAAUUAGCGAGCUGGCGAGAUCGAUCGAUUAUCCGCCACGCGUCCGCGUACCACGGUGACUCCGUGAGCAGUGAGCUAGGAGCGUGCGUCAUGCAUGCUACCCGGCCGGCUGUCUCGAUCGAUCUGUCACUUGCGUACGCCCAGCAAUUCUGGUGCGCACGCGGCCGGCGGCCGCCAGAGAAGUUAAAACAAAUGAUCUUUCCGGUCGAGUCUACCGUUAUCCAUUCAUGCUUAUCUGUAGAGCAUGCACUUGAGUUCAGCGGGACGCCCCGCGCGCGGUCGGCGCGGCGACAAGACAAAUUAUUAGGCUGCCGGGAUUUGAGAACCCCAAAACAGCUGCACAAAGCCGCGGCGCCGGCCGUUUCUCUCUCGCGCGCGCGGGCGUGCCAAUUCACCACCGGAUUAAUCUGGGACCGCCCUGACAUCAGAUAUGCAUGGUCGGUCGCGCACUCGCGCUGUGUUUUUUUCUAUCUUUCUUGAGGUGCUCCUCUCCCUGAUUUGAGCUGUGUCGAUGUUACGACGGGUAGCUGGGCUCGCAGUAUUGGCACCCUGAAAGGCCAUAGCAUAACUGGAGCCCGGUUCCCCUCAAAAAAAAAUAGAAGACUGGAUCCCGGUUGCUGUUGUUGCAAGGCUCGGCUCUCUAGGGUGAAACUGAGCCGGCCCAUGGCAGGUGAAGUGCUGCUGCCUGCUCCGUUCGUACGCCAAUUCCGGUCCGCUAAAACUGGGCCUUGCCACAAGUGCUUUGACUGUUUUUUCUCUCUCGAUUCCCAUCGGCUCGUGGAAAACACGGAACCCCGUCUAAACUUCGGCGAGAAACCAACGGACGAAUUCGACGCACAAUCGAAUCGGGCCGCUGGAGUCAAACAUUCCCAUCCUUGUUUACCUGGAACAUCGGCAUUCGUGACCGAGAGUGUGAAGCCGGCCCAAUGGGUGGCUACAUGAUCAGCCCAGUAGGGUCCAUGGUCCAAACGAGAUCACUGAGGAGUACACAGUUUUUCCAUAUGUGGCAAUUUUUGUUUACAGACUGUGUGUACGGAACUACGGAUGCAAGCGCUGGAGUGCAUCAGUGCAAUCACCUCUUUUUCUCAGUUCCCCUCUCUUCUAUAUUACCGGCUAUCCUAUUUGGCACCACCAUGCAUUGCAUGAAUCAUUUUCUGAAACACGCACUGGACGUGAACCUCUGCCGGCGCCGCCGAUCUGCUGAAACUUAACUCGGUCCACCAUGACUAGGAUCACAUGUAUUGACGGACGCCCGGACGGCCAUAUGCAACGAGGCCCAACCCAAGCCACCGAUUUGGUAGGUUCCAUGUGGGUUCCAUGUGGGGCAAACGGCAAGGCCAGCGCAAAACGAGAUAGAAAGAUGAGAUGCCUCCUUCCAACGGGCGGCGUACCCGACAUUUUCUAAAACGAGUUGGAGGGCACGUACCCAUCGCUGGCAAUAAUGCUCUCCCGGCCGUAUUGCCUUGCACGGCUCCCACUUGAUCCAAAGCACAAAGGGAUACUACCUAUCUACAUCUAUAAAGAAAAAUCCGCCGACAGAUGACUACAGAUCCAACAAGAGGUUGUUGAUGCUUUUGCUGGGCAUAAUUUUUAAAAAUGAUUUCCGUCUUGAUGCCGCUUCCUUUUCGGGAAGAAAUCUUGGGGAAAAGGGUUUCAUCUCUGGAUUCUCGCUAAACAAAGCAAACAAUACGAUACGAUGCUGGUGUAAACUCGAAACAGCAGCCUACGUUGUGUUCUUUGCUUUUGGUACAGCGUCGCUUUCAGAGUGAAAUGGACACUGCAGCCUGCAGCGUGUUUUUUCAGAUGGAAAAUUAAGAGCGAAAUGGCGACAGCGGGACAUCGCUGGCAAUCCAAGAUCUGCUGCCCGUGCAGCAGCCCCCUCCUCCUCUGCCACAACCCACGUUGGUGUUUCAGUGUUUUCUGCCUGCAUUGUCCCUGCUUCUAUUUUAUUUGCAAGAACAGACCAGAACAGACCAGAUCUCGAUCUGUCGAACACAAGCAAACUCAAGCGAGAUCCAGAUCUCAAAUGCAGCAAACAGUACUACUGGUAGAAUCCAAUGCAAGAUGAAGCAGCAGUGUGUAGGAGGAGUGUAUAUCACAUAAAUUACAAGAUACAAAUCAGCAGCAGCAAGAAAAGAAGAAAAAGAAGAAAGAAUAAAGCCGAUGCACAUACACAGCAACAAAGUGUUCUUGGUACAAGAAUCGACCGACCGACCAAAUCGACCGAAUCGAUCAAAUCAAUCAAAUGCGGAGCAUCGUAUACUACUACGUAUACACCACACCAGCUCAAUCACGCAGAGAACGCCACCGUCUUCAAUUCUCACCGAAUUCGAAGCGAUUUCCUUUCUAUUCUCAGAGCAGGACUCCUCCGGCGGCGCCGAGGACGGCGAGCGCGGCGGCGGCGACCCACCUGGACGCAGACACACGGGCGGCGGCGGCGGACUUGGUGUCGGAGGCGGUGGAGUCAUCAGAGUCGGACUCAGGCGGGUCGGCAAUGACCUUCUUCUUCUUCUUGCUCUUCGACUUCGACGGCGCCGGCGCGGGAGCCGGGGCC